GAUCUGAUUCAUGACAUGCCUAGUAUCCAAGUGUUUGGAGAGAAAAGUGAAACGAGCAAGCCUGUCGAUGGUGAUGAUGAAGAUGGCAAUGAAGAUGGGGACGGAGAAGAGGACGGUGCUGUCGGGGAGGGUGACGAAGAACCAUCUGAGGAUGACGGGGAGGGAUACGAGAACCCCAAUAAUAACAGUGGCAAGAAAGCCCCUGGCGACGGUGCUGGUGGUGAAGAAAACGGAGAGGAUGAUGAUGAAGAGGCCGAGGAUCCAGAGGACGGGGAUGACGACGACGAUGAUGAAGAAGAUGAGGAUGACGAUGAUGGUGGAGAGGACGAGGACGAGGGUGUGGAAGACGACGAGGAGAACGAGGAUGAAGAGGAAGACGACGAGGAAGAGGAGCUUCAACCUCCUAAGAAGAGGAAGAAGUGAGCGUGGUCGAAGUCGGGCUCGGUUUUAGUUGUAGCUUCUCUUGCUCUUUCGCAGUUCAGUCCGUUCGACCUCGCCGUGUGCCCUAACCCUGGUUUCAUUUCAGGAUUCAUAACGACAGACCGUUGUGGUGUUGGCCUAUGUAGGAGUACUAUUUCCUAAUGCAUCAGAGAGAACUUUGUCAAAUUUUGAUUUGUCUCUCUCAGUUAUUUAAGCUAACAAACUCUAAACUAUGCUGCUUCAAUUUGGUAUCAGAUUUUAACAAUGUAGUCAAAUGCAGCUCACUUUUCCCUCCUUGUUUGGGUCCAUAUGCAUGCAUGUCUCUUAUCUAAACUUUUAUGUGGUUGAAAUCUGGUGCUUGUGGCAACAGGUGAAACACAGCUUGAAGAUGAGCUCAAACAUGGUAUGUGGUGUAGAAUUCAAUCAUCAUACAGGCCAAGACAAUCAUGUUUCUGCAAUUCUUUGAAUCCUGUAAAGAACUUUGUGUUUCUUCUAUCAACAGAUAAAUUACUGGAGACUAUACAGUAUUUGAUCAGUAAAAUUAUCUGGACUGGACUGGACUGAAUUGAUCUGUUCCUAUUUUCUUCUGAUCUUGGCAAGUAUUUACACUGAAACUACAGUUGAGGUUUUCUUUUCUCAUUUAGCUUGUUCUGAGUCUCAAGCCUGAGAUGCUCAUCUCUUGAAUUCCUCACUCAAAUGCCUUCUUUGAGGUAUUCUCCUGAUGCCUAAACUCACUUUCUUGACUCAUGUUCAUAGUUUAAUGAGAUCCUGUAGCAGAUAAGUAUGAAGAUACUGAAUCAAAGACAAACAUGCAUAGUGAUUUAUGUGUGGUUAAAGCAAAAUCAAUUAUAGUAAAGUUGGAGAAUUGAUACCUCCCUUGCUUUAUAAAUGUGACACCACUACUAAUGGACACUCGCUAUUAGAUUCUUUGAAUGAAAUAGCUCAAACACUCUUCGUACUAUAAAGAUAAUUAGGUUCAUUAAGCUCUCAGAGGAGGAUCAAUGUAUAUAUUAUGAAGAAGCUUGAUCAUGUAGACAGCAAUAAUUCUGCAUAAAUGUUCCUUGACUUGAGGAGAGAUCUUACACUAGAAAGUCCACCUUCCUCUCUCACAACAAAAUCCCCUAUUUCUCCAUGAACAUUCCUUGACUUGAGAGAGAGAGAGAGAGAGAGAGAGACCACAUGCCCAUGACCAUGUGAACAUUCAAUGUCUCGUAUGAAGUUUACUCAUUCAAAACCAGCCCUAAUGAGCCCAACAUCAAACAUGUCCAUGUUGAUGUGGUUGGGUGGUUUGAUAUAAUAAAUCAGAAAAAAAAUGCUCUAUCUAAAUUGAUGAACCAUCUCAAAUCCAAUAAUUUCUUAGAUAGGUUUGAUCUAAUUUGUUACUAAGACCUAGACAUGAACACAAAUUUGAUUAUAGAAUAGUAAGAUAUACAUAGUGCCCAUAUUCUAUCAUGCAAAGUGAAACAUAAAUUUAUGUACAUUUGUUAAAUAUAAUAUUUAAUGAUGAUGUUCUUGCUGAAAUUUUUUGUUUGAUUGUAUUCUUUCUGAAAGAUCUUUCAUUUAACUUUUCACAUGCAUCAAAAGAACUCUGUGCAUCAGGAUAACCUACAUUAAAAAAACCUUAUAAAGUUCAGCAAAAUUAUGUUUCAUGAACAGAUCAACUGUGAAAAGAAUCACAGAAUCUUACCAACAUCAUUGUCAAAAAGCAACCGGUGUUCUUGUUUGAGACUCCAAUUUAUACAACCACAAAUCUUUGCAUGUUAUAGUAGAUUGUUACCAAGAUUCCUCCACAUACUGUCUGAGACCGGUGACAUAAAAACAGUGUCAAAGCAAUGUGUAGGUCCUCCAGGCAACGGUGCUGAUCAGAACUUCUAAAUUGCAUUCGAUGGCUAGCUUAAUUUUAAGCUAAACUUUGCUCCAAGUGAACUGACCAAAAGAGCUCAAUAAGCAAUUACAUCACAAGUUUCUAAUUGCUUUGGGGCUUUAGCUAGUUGUUUCUCUGUAAAGAAGCAUCAUGUUAGUAUUGGAUCACUGAUAUCAUAUUAUAAGAGCACGCUAAUGUCCAUGGAUGAGCAAUGUUUACCUGAGCAUGCAAUUGCAUCUCUGAGCAGGGCAGAAUGGGUUAGUUCAGGAACAUCAAUGUGUGAACUUUGUAGAUGUUCGUGAACUUUGUAGAUGUUCCAAGACUCUCUCUGAAAAGGUAUAUAUAACAGCAGUUCCAAAAGAUUUAAGAUUCUGAAGCACGUUUCAUCACAAGCAACCAAAAGGAGACAUCACCUUCUCAGAAUCACUUCAUAUACUGAAGAAAAUGGCCUUGAAGAGAAUUGACAAAGUCAUCCAUAAAGAGUCCAACUGCAGCCAUGCUUCUAGUCAAAUAACAACAAAUAAUUAUAUCAGAACUUCCGAUCUAUGAAAAUAAUUCAUGGUGGAAUAAUUCAAUCACAAAGAAUGACACACUAACGAGAGACUUAAAAGAGAAAAUGUGAAGGAACUUGUGUUGACUUUCCAAAUAGCAUUACUUCAUGAAAUUCUAGUGGUUGCAUUAAAACGGAGCCAGCUUUGCAGUCUGAAAUCCAACUUUAGAAUAGUUGAUGCACUCGAUCGGAAAGGAUCGUUAACUGGUUUGAAGCAUAUCACCAGAUUGAAAUGACAAACACAGAGUCUCCAAUUACAGAUAAUACAUUCGACUCAUAGAGAUAGAUGCAAAUCCAAUUAUAUCUACUGAAAGAAAGCUAAAAAUUACAAUGUUUCAAAGACAAUUCUGAUAACAAUUUUGAUAACAUUUCAGACACAAAACCAAUAUGUGCACGAUAUCACCGAAGAAAAUAAUAAUAAGAUAAACGGAAUACCGAGCUGGACUCACAUAUGGUCCAAUAUCGGUGUUUAAUUGGACAAGAAAUACUGGCAGGUAUAUAUAAUUGUCUGACGGGUAUUCUAAAACAUGGUAUUGAGUCUGAAGGCCAAUUUGACUGAUAGCCUGUCAUUUGUGCAAUCAUUUUUUCUACUGUCUGCAGAAACUUUUAAUAAGCAAAAGAAAUAUAUGUACCGUGGAUUACUCAUAAUGGGUUGUGUUGAUCCAUUGUUAAUUGUUGUUGGUGUAAGUUGAAUUUGUUUGAUGUGAAAUAGAUAUGCCAACUAAUUACCAUAAUGUUGCAUGAACAUGUUUUUUAAAAUGAUCAUCUGAAGUAAAUAAAUAAAUAAAUAAAUUUCAAACUAUACAUCUUGCCCAAUCAGUAGAAAGCAAAGUUUCCACCAAUAUGACAAAAUCAAGCCUGAAAAAUGUAGAACUAUGGUUGUAUUUCUUGACUUUUUCACAUGUUCAAAGCUCGGAAUAUGAUGACCACAUUGUUUUACCUAGCAGAUAAUUGUUCAACUUACCAUUCAAUAAAAUGGGAAAACACAGUUCUACUUGCAUGAAGAUAGAGAAAAAUACAUGAAAAAUCAUAUGAAUCUUUAAAACAAUAAUAAAAUAAAUUGUAUAGUAACUUAGAUAAUGCAAUAUAAAGAUUUAAGAAUACCACAAAAUAACCAUAAGUGGAACGCUAUGAAGCCUCACAUCACCUUGCACUGACCUCAUGAAGAUAGAGAAAAAUACAUGAAAAAUCACAUGAAUCUGUAAAACAAUAAUAAAAUAAAAUGUAAAGUAACUUAGAUAAAGCCAUAUAAAGAUUUAAGAAUACCACAAAAUAACCAUAAGUGGAACACUAUGAAGCCUCACAUCACCUUGCACUAACCUCAUGCAUGCAAUUGACCAUAACUACAACUCCAUCUGUGGUGCAAACUGGGCUUCCUAGUACUCUUUUAACCAGUAUAGAGAUGACCAGCCACUUCUAAUAACUUCCGAAAAAUGAUAAUUUACCUGUAAGUCCAGUCAGAAACUCCCUUGGCAAGUGGAAGUAAAUGUUAUUAUAAUUUCAAUUUAUUGCACUUCAAGAAAUAAUAGCCUUUAAGCAUAACAGUCCACUGAAUUCUUAAAAAACACUCUGAAAUCUGAAUAUAGUAUCUUUACAAAGAACACUGAAAAUGAGUUCACAAAAAGCUCGCUUUCUGGGAUUACCAACACUGGAAGAUUUAGAUGAGGGGUAUAUGCCAAGAAAUGGUAGGUGGAAAUGCCUGCAAAUCUGACGGUUCCUGUGACAUUCUGCAAAUCCACUGGAUUGUCGGAUGUUCAGGGUUGAUGCCUGCAAAUCUUCUUGCUUCUCUUAAGUUAUCUAAUUUCUCUGCAACUUUAAGAUUGUUCCUCCACAAUGGAUAGCUUCUGGGACCAUGAAACUUUAAGUAUCCCUGAGAAACCAUUUAAAAAUGGUUCAAAUACUUUCUUCAUCAAUGCACAAGCCCAUCACCACCUUGGCCAUGGACUGCAUUUGAAGCAUACUGGUAUAAAUUUAUUGUUUAAUCAAAUUAACAAAUCCAUCUCUUCUUUUCCCUUUUCUGAAACUACAUAAACGAUUACAGUGAUGGACCUAAAAAUGAUGAAAUUAACAUGAUAGCAGUAGCAUAAUCACUUUUUCUGUCCCUACACACAGGACUGCCAAUUAAAAUGAUCAAAAUAACAUAAUUACAUAAAAGUAAUCCAUGCCAGUCAAAAUUAAAUUAAGCAGAACCAUCUGGACAUGGUAGUUGGGUUGCAUACUUGGACAGUACAUGACCUAUAGAUUAUACAUGUAUAUACUCAUGUACAUUAACAUCAGAUGCAAAAUUUGCAAUUUCUGAGCGAAACUAAGAACACCAAGUAACUUUGUCAAUGUUCCUCUGGCUUUUGCCCUAUACAAGGAUUUUGUUUGAACUAUUACCUGGAUUCUUUUUACAAUUUUGCAUAUAACAACUGUUCUACAAAUAUUAAGUGCCUUGAGAAAUGAGUAGGAUUUUCCAAUAUGUAGUAAUAAACUGUAAACAGAAGAUGAAUGUCUUUAAGAUGUAGAUAAAACUGGAGAGAUUUAAGGAACAAAUGCAACUUACGAAGAGAAUUAUAAUUGGACACCACAGCCUAUAGAAAGAUUACAAACUCCUUGUCACUAACUUUUUUAUCCAGUAUCUCAUAUAAUAAUAUUCACUAGAAGGAGAAUAAACUAUACAGUUGAAAGUAACUGAACAGGUAGAAUUAACUGAGUAACUGUACAUAUAAUAGAUAAGACCUAAUGUGCCAGCUAGCACAACUGGUAUUAAGUGAAUCAGGGGUUCACAGUACCGUCUGGCAUCACUUUCAAAUCCCUGCACUGGGGCUGCUGAAAUAGACAAGAAAACUGUAAUAUAUAGCAAUGUCAGAAUAACUUCUCAACUUCCAGGUGACUCCUCAUAGAUUUAUCAAGCCAUGAUUCCGACAAGGCCCCCGAUUUUCCUUUAUUAUGUACUGGCUAAAAAAGGUAUAUCCACUAUAAAGCAUAGCUAAUAUGUACUUAAAUACCAAUAAAUGCAAGCUCCAUCAUGUAGUUAGGCCAUGAUGUAUUUAUGAGAAUUGGAUGAUUACCAAAUCCUAGUAUGUCAAAUAUCAAGGACCUGACAGCUUACAAGCUCUGCUACCCCAGAAUCCUUAGCAUCAAUGACCUUCCAAAAUUCAGGCUCUUCCUCUACCAAGGAAACAGGGUUGUCAGUCAUAGAGUCAGCUGGAGCAGUUGAUGAAGUCGAAACAUUUGAGCCUGUACGUCUCUGUAAGUCAGCUUCCAAUAUCACAAUAUGAUGAUUGGCAUCUUUCAUGAUAACAUGGAGCUUCCCAAGUAAACCAGCAAGCAGAAAUGGAGACUCAGAGUCAGUGAGAUAACGAACUGGUACAUUUUCUAUAACAACUCUCCAAACAUCCUCCUGAUUAUCAUACUUCUUUAUCUUGCCAUUGUCCAAACAACUAGCAGGAUCCAAGGCAUAUAGAUCUCCAUUGACUACAGUACCCAACUUUGUUCCCGCUUGCCUAGCAGGCCAACCAUCACCCAUACCAUGUGGCAUUUCCACCCAUGAACUUGUCUCUGGGUCAUAAAUUUCACCUCCAAUAUCAAAAAAGAAGGGCCAAGAAUAUAAACUCUGUGGAACACACAACCUUCCCCUAUAUGAAACCAAUCCGGUUGCAAUAGGCUUCAGCAUGUCGGCUAAAAAAGCAGUAGGUAACACCUGUGUUUUCACGAAAGGCAUGCUUGGCAACUCCGUCCAAAGACUUGUUAGGGGAUCAAAAACUUCAGCAGUUCGUAAAGGAAUUAAGCCAUUUCUUCCCCUCACGACCCCCCCCACAACAUAAAGUUUGUCGUUUAAUAUGCCUGUCUUACAGAAAGCCCUAGCACUGGUCAUAGAGCUCACUUCCUGCCACAAGUUAAGACACGGAUCAUACCGCCAAACACAAUUGAUGGCAGAGGCUCGAGAAAAUCCACCUAAUACAUAGAGGCAGCCAUUGACAACACCAACUGCACAUCCGCAAAAGGGCAUCUGAUCCAAGUUAUCCCUGCGCCCGAGCCAACCUCUUAUGAAAUCAGCAAGUUUGAUGCUGGAGCCCACCACACCCCACAUCCAAAAUCCAGGCAACCCCCUCUUUGGCUCUUCCUCAUCCACAACAUGGGGCAUCGGCGGCAACCGUUGCCAUUUUCCCGAACGAGGGUCCAAUGCCUGCCACAAGUACUUGUCCCCUCCUGUCUUCGUCAUUACAUAUAACCAUUCUUCAGUCACCCCAAGUUGUCUUCUCAGCUGAAACAGCUCACCGCUCAUGACAGCAAUCAUCCAUCGCCGGGAAACCAACUUCACAUUCAAGUAGUGAAUUCUCGGCAAUCUCGCUAGGAUUUGAAUCGAGACUUCAUCUGGAAGACUAGGGAUCAGCCUCGGGUUGUCAUCAAAAUACGAUGAUAUUCUUAUCUUUUUGUUUGCAUCACCACGGGAUGUUUCACAAUGCACGCCUUCACCAGACUUAGCAGCAGGCACACUCAAGAAUGAUCCCAUCAAAAUCCUCUAAAAACCAGCCGAUCCUCGCGGAAAAGUAAUGUGCUACUUGAGCCCGAUCCCUAAUAGAUUUCAAAAGAACUGGUUUUAUAAAAAUACAUAUCAAUUCAUCAAAGAAGACACGAUCCAAAAAGAUCAAAGAAAGAACUUUUAACUCCUCCAAGCGGACCUCAAAAUUCUAAUUUUACAGUAAAAAACAGAAGGAAAAAAAUUCCGACUCUACAAAAAUUUUAGAACCCCAAACACCAGAUCUGAAGAAACUCUUGAAACGCAAUAGAAAAGCAUUGAUCUUCAGCAAGACCCUAAACGUCAAAUCUGAAGAAACUAUUCAAACGCAACAAAAAUACAUGGAUUGUCACCGAAAAUAGCAGAUACAAAAACAAGAAAAAGAUCAAGGAAGGACAGGUUACCUUCAGGCUAGAGAGAUCCGGAAGAAGAUACCCUAGAUAUGCUCCUUUUCGCUUUACAGAUUCUCUUGGUUCCUCUUCUCGUUCGUAUUCGACUCCGCUCAAACGACGGCACCUUCCUUACAUGGCAGGGCCGUUACGGUUUACGAUCAAAAUUGGGCCAGUCCGGCCCAUUAUAUUGAGCCCAUAUUUGGUUCUGCCACAGCUGGGUCGGCAAAACAAACCAUUGGGCCAUGGAAUCAAAUACAUAGAUUAAUGUAAAGCUUAUCUUAUCUCAUUUAAUUGGGGAAUAUUUUCCUAUAAAUGAAGCAAAAUUUAGGAACAACUAACAUAAAUUGAGAGGGUUAGGUAACAUAUACUAGAUUUUUCUUUUUAAUAAUCUAAGUUUUUAAGUUGUAAUAAUGUUCAAUCUCAAUAUAUAAAAAUUGCACUGAUUCCUAGUUUCUAAUUGCAAAAAACCUCAUCAUAAUUUUAGUCCAAUAGAUUCAAAAAGGGAAAGAAGUUCAUAAUUGAGCUAUUUUUCAUGUAUUGAGUAUAAGUAUUUUGACAUAUCAAUGACCACAUAUUUAAUAAUUGUUUCCUCUAACAUCCAUUUCUCUAUGGUUUUGUUUUAUAAAUUGUAUUAUAUAUUAUAGAGGAAUAUACAUACAUACAUAUACAUAUACAUGUAUAUAUACAUGUAUAUAUACAUGUAUAUAUAUAUAUAUACAUAUAUAUAUAUAUAUACAUAUAUAUAUAUAUAUAUAUAUAUAUANNNNNNNNNNNNNNNNNNNNUAUAUAUAUAUAUAUAUAUAUAUAUAUAUAUAUAUAUAUAUAUAUAUAUAUAUAUAUAUAUAUAUAUAUAUAUAUAUAUAUAUGCACACACAAAACAAAACCAUCUUGCCAAAACAUGAUAGAGAGAUGGAUGUUAUAGAGGAAAGAUGGUUUUGUUUUGUAAAUAUAUAUUUCUCUGUAAUUUAUAUUUACAGGUAUUCACUGGUUAAGAUGAUCUUAUUGUUUGCAAAGGUGAGCAUAAACAAUCAAAUCUGGAGUCUACAAGAACUAAAUUUAUACAAUUAAUCAAUUGUUUGGCAAAUUUCAGAUUCUUGUAAUAUCCCUAUGCAUCACAAUUUUGGACAAUUGGAUGAGAGUGACAUUUGCAAAGAUGAUGUUGCAAAUGGAUCACAAAGCAGUAGGCCAAAAGCUACUUAGUUUUGUUUGAUCAAGCAACUUCAGAUGCUCUUUAACAUCCAUUUAUCUACCAUGAAAAGGCUUGGCUACCAUUCAUUAAGGUAAUAAUAAGAGAGGUUUUUUUGAGUGGAUAGGAGUUCAUGCAUUUCAAAUCAACAGUUGGUUUGUCUUGAAAAUGAAGUUAAGAUGGAUGAUUAAAGUGUUAGGUAUAAAGAAUGACAAUGAAAUUACUCAUGGAAUAAAUCAGAUGAUUAAAAUGGAGAGAAGCAUCAUAAGUUAUAUGACAUAAACUUAACUUCUUGGAUGCUCCUUAAGAUAGUUGCAAGCCUAAUCAUGAUCAAAAUAUUGGAUGAUUAAGAAAAAUGUAAAAAAUUUGUAAAGUUGAAAUGAAAAUGUUAAUAUGAAUAUAUGGGAUUACUUGAAAAGAUAGCAUAGGAAAGUUUUGAUUCACAAAUAAGUAAAUACAACCCAGUAGAGAAAUAAAAGGAGAAAAAAUAGUUUAAGUAGGUACAAAGAUAUACAAAGAAAUUUUUUGUAAUUAACAGACUGAAUUGAGUUAAAGAAAUAUCUAAGAAGAUUUUAUUAGAAACAAUGUAUAACAACAUUUCAAUGCUCUUGAUGAUUUAACUAAACCAUGGUCUUACACAAUGAUUAAUAGUGAGAAAAGAUUCAUGAAUUGAAUCCCAAAUAGUUGUUGGAACAUCAAGGCUUAAUGUCAUUGUAAUUGGCUUGUCUUUGGGCUUCGUUUGCAUCCACCUGAAGCUUUCAGUUGAUGUGAGCCACUGCCUGUUGGUGAGAUAGAAGAGGCAUAAUGUCAUCAGACUUUUAGUUGGUCACCAGUCUACAUUGCAGGAGUGAGCCACAUUAUUAUCAAGUCAUCAGAGAUAAAGCCCACCAUGAUGGUACAAGAGAGACCCAGGUGCCACUAAAGACUGCUUGUACAAGUAUCAUUGGCCAGCUUUGUGCAGGUCACAUCAUUUUCAAAGCUUACCCUUCAAAUGUUCUUCAGGAAACAGACUGGAACACAUGCAGCUUGUAUCUUGUCAAGACUUGAUUCUUAGCUGAAGGACUGAGGUAGAGUUUUCAGCUUGCAACCUUAAAUCUGGUGGUUUGUUAGUGCUUGAUAAGAGUAAGUUCAUCAAAAGAUCCUGCCAAUCUUGAAGUUCCAGUCACUUGCAUGUGUUGUAGCUCUUAGGUCAUGGUUCCCAAAUCACUUCUUACAUGCUGUUGCUGCAAAAAGUACUGUUAGUGCCAAGGCUUCAUGGAAGGAACAUUUCAUUAUUGCUUCUAUCCAAACGUAGAUGUUUAAUUAGUCAUAUAUCAAUGGUGAAUCAAGUUAUAAUCCAUCUUCAUCUUGUAAGUAAUUUUUUGACCAAAAAAUUGCACUAGAAUAUGGUAUGUUAAUGUCAAUAUAAGUGGAUAUUAUGAACGAACUCAGUAUGUUCUGCUAAGAAUACAAAAGCUUCAAAAACCUAAUUUAACCAGACUAAUGAUAUCAUAAGUGUAUCUCAAAUGCUUCAUAUAAUUAUUGCAGAUAUUAUGAUGAUAAAUUAUCAUCUCUUAAAUUGGAUAAGAAAAAUCAUCAAAGUUCUGUUGCCACCUUCACAGAAUAGUUUUGAGUGAGAGCAUGUUCCUUUUAAAUAGCUACAGCCUGAUUUUUUUCUUGGGACCAGUGAAAGAAAUCAGCAAAAAAGAUCAUAUAAAAGGAGAUUCACAGUCACCUAACUCCCAGCUUAAACAAUUGGUUUUUGUGAGUACCAGACAAGCCAAAGUUAAGAAGUCUAGAUUGUGACUAAGUCAUUAAGAAAGAUGGCAUGACUUCCUCAUCCACAUCAAGUUGUGAUGUGAAAGAGAGACAAUUGUCACCAUGCCUGACUGAUCAAAGCAUAAACACCAUUAAUAUGCACGAUUUAUUUAAUCGAUUUAAGAAAAGUUGAAUCUGAAUUGACCUAACUUGCUAAAAAUGCAUAGACACAUCUAACAGUAUCUCUAGCUGACAUUUAUUGGCAUUUCUUGUGUUGACACAGUGGACAAUGUGAACUGAAGGAUGAUGGUGUAAGAUAGUGAUAAAAUCAGGGUCAUGGAUUUGCAAUCAAUGCAUCUAUCUAUUGGAUCCAGAUGUCCCAAAGCAACAAUUAGAUCUUUCUUCUCUCUCAAAGAAGACUCCACCACCAUAUUCCUGUUGAUCAUAAGAUAAUAGUUUGGGUACUUUCAUUGGUGUUUCCAAUGGUGUAAAUCAUUGAAAAAACUUCGGUAUCUCACAGGAUAUGGUAAUGUAUCUGAGACAAAAAUCUUUUGUUACAUGAUAAAUCACAACUUAGUGAAGAAGCAGAGCCUUGACAUUUUCCCUUUGAUGGCCUUUCCAAUUGUCGACAGCAACAUAGUUCUGGUAAAAGGCACAUAGAAGAUGAAUAUUCACUUUACACUCCUUAUGGUCAAUGCUUGUUUGAUCGUAGAUAACACUACUAUUUUAUGCUUUUUGGCUGAUAGUUAAUGGAUAAUUUGUUUCAAGAGAUUCUGCUGUGGGCUUUAUGAAAUUAAAAUUACUGUUACUGCCAAUACUCCAAUGAGUUCAUGUUCUAAUAUAUGGGAAUAGUGUACAUGUUUUACUUGCAGUCACCAAGUUGUCUCUAACUUCAUUCCAAUUUAUUUGGAGUUGUAUCAUUGUUGCUGAAUAGUUGUCUUGCUGGCCAUACAAUAAUUAGCACAUUAAUAACACAACCAGCAGCCAACCAAUCUAGAAGAUCAACGUAGUGAUUAUUGCAGACAGUUGAGCAAUUUUUUCUUCAGUUUCAGUUUAAACUUGUGCUGAUUCUACUAAACUAUAAUAUCAUAAAAAAAUCAGGAGGUAGGGAAUCAAUCAAUUUAUAUGAUAUUGACAAGUUGACAUUACUCAGAAGCUAAACAAAUCACAUUCCAUUACAAAAAAAAAAAAAGAGAAUAAUAUUUUACAAACGAGAUCUAAAGACAAUGGGGGGCUUCUCAUGGGCACCAAGAAAUUUUGGAAAACACAAUAGCAUCAAAUCUACAUUCCUUUUCUUCUAAUAGGUUAAUUGAUGCUGGAAAACCAUAGAAACUUACAUGUAUCUCUUUGCAUUAUAGCAUUUGAAAUAUCUUGUUUGGAAUCACUGAAAAUUCUAUGAACAGUUAUUAAUGAUAGCUCAGGUAGCAGUGAUCGAUGCCUCACAGUCGGAUUGGUUGGAGCAGCUAGUUUCAAGAGGAUUAUCAUUCAUAGAAGUUAGAUAGCACUUCUCUUUCUGCUCAUCUGAAUUCAUUUGUUGCUGGCGGCACUCAAGGCUACAGAAAGCAAUGUCACCCCUGCACAAUGAAAUAUAACAAAUAAAUGCAUAACAUCUAAAAUUUCCAAACUUUCACAUUACAUAAGAAAAAUGAAGGUCUUGAACCAUAUAUAACGCACAGAAGACUGAGCAGUUUUUAUGCAAAAAAUGCAAGACAUGCAACUCAUAACAUUAUUGUAUUCACAUGCAUGCAAAAACACAGACAUGAUUUUUUUUUUUAGGAAUUCACUGAAGAAAAUAAAGUUGCAGUAAUUGGAGUAUUAUGGAUCUAACACUAAUAUGAUUGACGUGAAUUUAUAUUUUAAUGUACUAUGAAUACACAUCAAUAAAUCUUCAUCUGUAAGCUUAUGCUUUUAGAUAGAUUAAGAAUAUAAAUCAAUAGAUCUUGUCUCAUGUACAGGUUUAGAAUUUUAGAUGGAAUGACAGUGAUCAAAUAACUUAACAUGAUGAGAUAAAUGAUGUCAUCAAAGAGUAUAAAAAGGCAGGACUUAGUACUACUUCAUAUCAAUAAGGCAUUGAUAACAAUAACUAACAAAUUAAGAACAAAAUUCUAAUAUUUGAGUGUAGAAAUUUUAUACCAAUUUAGAGAAAUGAGUAGACUACCUCUUGGAUUUAACUAAUGACUUCCUAUAUAAAUCAAUAAAAAAGUCAGAAUGAUGUAUGAAUAUUUACAAAUAUAUGUAACACUAACAGAGGAUCUGAACUCAAAGAGAAACCUCUCCAGACAUUUCCACAAAAUCUUCCCAUAAUCAUAAGAAAAUUGAACUUUUGAAGGUUAUAAGCAAAAUCCAACAUAGCGUGCACUCUGUUAUUAGCAUAUUUUUCCUAAAACCCAUCGAAUUAAUUUGAAUUGGAUCAGCGCGUCCGCAUGCCCUGGGGUGAAAAAACGAUCUUUGAUCCGUAAAACAUGUGAAAGCCAGAAAAAAGAUGAAGUUUUUAGUGAGAGAAGCAGGCACAAGAGAGCAGUACCUAUACAUGUAAGUAUCUCGGCCAGGUCCGAGGCGGCGAUUGCAGAGGCCGCAGGCCCUCAAGAAGGGCGCCGUCCCGUCGCCGGAGUUCCCACAGUGCACGCCGCUGUGGAGGAAAAGCGUGGACCCCACGUGCCUCGUCGCCCAACAGCCUUCUCUCCCGGCGGCCCCGAUCUGCGCAGCCUCCGCCGCGCCCCACCGCGUCUCCCUCGGAUUAAAGUGGCAAGCGAUCGCGUCCUGAUUAGACGUCUGGGCGGCCUCUACAUCGAAGACGACGGCCGAGGAGAACUCCGCGGAGCUCGGCGUCCGCCUCACCUGGGGCCUCGGUCGCUUCCCCAGCAACAUCCCGGUCUUCUCCUCUCUUGCUCCGCGGAGAAGUGCGGGGGCGGUGAGCGACGGUGAGAUUAGAAGAGGGUGACGGGACCGAAGAUCCUUGCAGAGGGAGAAGACGCUUGGAAGCUCAAAGCAGCCAGGGAGAUUUAAAGACGAAAGAAUAGAUCAGGGCCGUCGAAUUUAAUCUCCACCUUUCUUAAGUAAUCGGUACCAUUGAUCAGACCGCGACAAGCCUCAUCCAACGGUCACGAUUAAUAGAGGGAAAAAAUUUAAAUUCUCAUAUUUAUCCAGUGAGUCAUCAAUAUACUUUUUUCUUUCUUUAAUAUAUUGGACAAAAAAAAAAGUAAGAAUAAGUUCCUCGUGGGCCGAGGCGGUGGCCACGUGGCCGAGAGCCUUUGGCUGUCUUUCGGUGGGACCACCUCGGAUGUGGCCUACUCAUAAUUAGUGACCAGUGGCGAUGGGCACAGAUCGGAGUGUAGUGGAGACAUAGAAACAGUGACACGAGAAGGACUUCGAAGAGAUUCCAUUUUAGAGUGCACUAAUUAUUGCCCAAGUUGGAUGCAGAAAUCUCCAAGCAAUAUGAAUUCUGUCGAUCAUAAGAGCUUGUUUUGUAAGAAUGUAAUGCAUUGGUACAGUUGAUCGAUCAAUGUAGUAUGUGACAAGCGAAGCUAAGAUGCUGACGUGGAAUAUUGUUUGGUAGCAUAAGUCGAGCAUCGAUGUGUCCAUUUGAUAAUGGAGUCGACUGCAAGACUUUGAUUUUGACAUGAAGUGGUCCGAAUAAUGUUAAUGGCCACAUAUACUAAUCAUUUAUUUUAUGCAUUCAUGUCAUCCUGCAUGAGACAUAUUGUUUAUGUUGUGAAGGACGCACACGAAACUAUUACAUGUUUUGAAUUGGAAGGGCGCGCAUGAACGAGGGACCCGUUAUGGAGCGCGUAUCCAAUCUCACUUUCUGAAUCCGACCCGUUUACACGCUAACCCUUUUCGUUACUCCUAUAAAAAAGAUCCGACCCGUCACCGCAGCCUUCAUAACUGCCCGACCAUUUGGGUUCAGCCCCUUCCCCGCUCCUUUCAGCUCACCGUCUUCUCCGUCGCUCUCCGCUCCGCUCCGCGUAGCUUCGCUCGCCGCCGCCGCCGCAGAAGGCCGGCAGGUACCCCCCCUCCAUUGACCUUUGGCUUCAUUUUCCGUUCUUCUAGACGUUCUGCGCUCCUGCUACCGUCCACAAAAUCGGACCUCCUUGCAUGCCUCUGAGGUUCCCUGCGUUAAGAACAAGACGAUCGGAGUCGCGCAUAACUGCAACGAUUGGUGUCAGGAAUCUAGUUUAUAUGGUCGGUUCGAUCGAGGCAUUGGAUCUGUCUGACGGGUUUGGGCUAGGGUUUUCUUGAUCUGAUUUCUUGAUUCUUGCUCUUUAAUCUCUUCUGUUUCCCCUUCUUCUUGAGUCGGAUUAGGUAUGAGAAUCUUAGAUGCCACUGUAGGGUUCAGGGAAAGCAUAUAUUCUCUUUCAAUUUUGGAUUAGAUUUUCUAGGAUUGAUGGGAGGAAAGAGGCGUACCUAAGUGUGAGAAGCGAGUGUGAGAAGCGAGUGUGAGACGUACAUGUAUGAUUGGCGUUGAACUUUUAGUUUGCUGAGUGUGAGAAGCGACCUAAGUGUUUGAGAAAUCUUGGCCCAUCUAGAGGCAGUAAGAACGUUGUGGACUAUCACACAGCAUUUAUGUGUUCUAGGUAUUUCUUCUCUCCUUGUUAGCCAUAUAAAAGUUACACCAUCAUCGUUGCAUUCUUGAUCAUUCUAAUACCACUUAUCUUGUGCAUUAGGUUAUAGCUUUUGUGCUUGGUCAUAUGGUUUUCUUCUGGCUUGAGUUCACUGGAAGGUUGAUCAUGUUAUGAUGGCAUCUUGGGUUUCAUUUUAAAUGUAGUUAGAUCUGGAUGUAUAUCUCAGUGUAUGAUGCAGCAAGGUGGCUUGUAAAAAAGGAAAAAAAUGGGGAAAUGCGGGGAAUAAAACGAUUUAAAUAGGUCAUCUAUGAUUCUUAUAUUUUAAGGUGAUUGGAAAUAUGGGGAGCCACGGAAGAAACAUGAUUUAAAUAGGUCAUACAUGAGACUUAUAUUUCAACUCUGUGGUAGUACAUAAUUUUUUAUGAAAGGAUUUUAAUAAUAAAAGGAGAUUUACUUGAUAUUCCUGGGAGUUUUCUCCUUAAACCAGAGUGAGUUUGGUAACAUAUUUUUAUUUCCUCUCUCUUUCCCUUCGAAAGAAAGAGAGAAUUCCUUAAACCAAAGAAAGAAUUCCUAUAUUCAGUGUGAUCUCGUCCUACAUCAGUUUAUCUUUGCUAAUACACAUGAAAGGAUAGCAUUGGUAAUUUUUUGUUGCAGCUCUCAUAUUGGCUGGCUGCCUGGGACCUUCGUAUUAUAUAUAUGUCAUCCAGCCUUAGGUUGCUUCAUGAAAAUGAGAAGAGAGAUUUCAUUAUGUAUUGUUAGUAAAAAAUAAUAGGUUCAACCUGACAUAUUUAUCAAGUCCUUAAAAAAGUGUGUAUAAUAUGCAAAGGACAUGACGAUACAAUGUAUUUUAGUAGUACAAUAGUAUAUUUAACAAAGCACGAUCUAAUUUACGUAGUUAGACUGCUUAGUUGCAUACUGUGAUGACCAGUAAUAACUUGCAUUCUUAACUUUUUCAUGAUGAAUUUUAAUCCAAUUACUCUAUAACAAGCAAGAACCUAUUGUAGUCAAUAACAAGUAAUUAACCUGCAUAUUUAGCUUUACAAAUAAAAUAUGGACCAUGAUCUAAAAUACCAGUUGGAUCAAGACGUACUGAUCAGUAUUUUCCAGGCUGACUAAGCAUAUGGGUCAUACACCUUGGUACAGUCUGAUAGGCUGCUACAUUUUUUAUUAUUUUAUUCAGCAAUACAAUGAGCUACAUGCUGGUGUACCAUUAUAUCUGUAACCAUCAAAAUUGUAGACACAAUACAUUAAGAACCUCUUUCUUUUUAGUAUUUAUUAAAAAAAGAUUCUUGAAGGAGGUGUUCAGCAUGUAUCAAAGAAAUAUCUUGAUCUUACCCCACAUAUAGUUGAUAUGGAUGUGACAAGCAAUUUGAAGCAGUCGUGUUUCAUAGGCUACCCUAUAGUGGCUGUAGGAGAAGGUAGGCCACAAUAAGAGGAAGAAGAAGGUGGUUGACAGUGGUGAUUGUUAUUUUAAAGAGCGGAAGGGAGAUGAAGGAAGGAUCACAAGGAGAGGUGAAAAAACAAGCUACUGCAAUUCACCUUCAUAAAUGGAGAGAGAGAGGAGUGCAGUGAUAGUAGGAGAGAGAGUCAUGGGGCUCCUAAUUUCGUUGAUGGUGGGGAUAAGAUCUAGAAGUCCUUUCCUCUUUCCCGGCUCUCACCGUUCCCUUAUUUAUUUUAAAUAAAAUGAGUACAAUGUAGAUACACUCUCACCAUCCGAUUGGUAGUGACUUAACUAUAUAUCAUAAUAUCAUCUGGAACAUAACUGAUGUUCGAUACCAUCAGAUUUAUUAGAUCCUACUGUCUUCAGUUGUUAAAUAUUAGUGGGACUGUGAUGAGAUAAUUUUAGUACACGUUAGAUGGCCAAAAUGCUACUUGACAUCAGAUGCAAAGUUCUAAGUACUAUACUUGAAGCAGUCCAUGGGCAGACUUGUAUGGACACAUUGGUGUAUAUCACAAACUAGAAGAAGAGGAGGAGGAGGUGGCAACAGGGGAGGGGAAGGCAGCAACAGUGGAGGAGGAGGAAGAGGAGGAGGAGAAGAAUAAGAAUAAGAGGAGUACGAAGCGAGCGACAACGGUUGGGAAAUGACAGACAAUGCAAGCAACGAGUGGGCGACAUGAGAGAAACAAGAGAAUUCAUGAGAGAGAAGGGCAGGAGUAACCCUAAAUUUAGAAGAAAAUGGACUUACAUUCUGGUAUAGGCUCUGUAACAAGUCAAAACCAUGCAGUAAACCCCGUUCAACAGGCUUAUCAAGUUAUCAUACAGUAAGCACUGUAUCAAACCCAGACCGCUUGAAAUGGGAUAUUACAUGUGUAUAUCAGGUUCAGACUAGUAAAUACCAACCAAUAUAUAUCAGUCUAGCUGAAAUUAAGAACCAUGCCUCACAUGGCUGACUGUUUACAACCAUAAGAAUCACGAACACUGGGUUUCUAAGAUUUAAAGAGGAAUCUAGGAUAGGGUAUGAUGGUAUUUCAUAAGAGUACAUAUGGUAUUUUCUUUUUUUUAUUUUCUCCAUCACAUUGAUAUCAUCCUAAUUCUGGUCUUGCUAAUCUUGCUUUUCAUUCAAAUUCAUAAGUUACAUAUGGUGACCCUAUCGCUAAUUGUUAGGCCUCUUGGAAACUUUAGAAGUUUUAGAAGUCGGAACUAAACUAGAAUACGUGAUUCAUUGAUUGUGUCCAACUUAUCUGUUACUUGGACUUUGAUGAAUACUCGGGAUAAAGAAGAAUUGUCCUAACUUCUAAAUAACCCUUAAGCCAUUAGAAUUAUGGCAGAAGGUCUUGCGUAAGUGUUUAAUAAAAAGAAAAGGCUUCAGUUGUGCCCACUUUGUCCUGAUCUUCGAUAAUCUGAACUUGGAAGACAUUGUCUUAGAAGAACAUUGUACAUUAUUGAAGGCCUUAGUAGAAUCAAAGCUUCUCAGGCCAAAGCCUUAUAAAACUAUAAUAAUUUCUUCCAGGUCACAAUUGGCUAGUCAAAACUUGUUGAGGCAUUCGUAGUAUUGCAUAUCUUGUCCCAAACAAUUAUUUAAUUCAAUGAUAUAGACAUCUAAUUAGCAAAACAAUGACAAGGAUGGUGAGUGUUCUUUUGGUUACAGGAUAUUGGUUAUCCAAAAUGUUGAAUCACUAAGACACUAACAUAGCAUUACUAUAUUUAAAUAUAGCUCUUUGAGAAAAAAAUCCUUUUUUCUCAUUUCAUUAAUGAUUCUUUCAUAUUUUUCUUUAAUAAAUGAUGAUUAGAUAAAAAAGUUUCAAAUGUCCAUCAUUGCUUUAUUAUGAAAAGACCUCAUCUUAUAGGAAACUACAUUUCAAUUUAGUAUGUCAAAGUUUAAACCCUCUUUGACAUUGCAAUACCUACGUGGAAGAAGCUAUUUUGCAUUGGUGAAGUGGCUUCCAUCAUGCUCAAGCAUGAGAGGUUUUUGGAAUAUGUUUUUUAUUGUUUCUUGUUAAAUAGGGUGUUUUAUGUAAAACAGUGUUGGCCAAUACCGUGGCUGAUUGUAUCUCUUGAGUUGCUGAUUGGGAGUUCAAGGUAACGGACUGAGCCAGGGUGUCUCACCUACGUGAAACAGUAGAUGGGUUGACUGAAUGGACUAGCGGUAGAUCCAAACACUUAAGAGCAAUGAGGCUUCAAGGUGGUCUUGCUGAUGGUGUCAUUCAAACAACAGAGGAGUUUGAUAAGCCUUAGAUUUUACGGUUUUUGAGUAUGGAGAAAGUGUUCGAGUUUAACCGAUGGGCGUUUUGGUCAUUAGACCAUUCAAGUUUACAGAAGCCUGACUGAAGUUACUUGCACUGAUUGAAGUUGUGUUUUGUUUACUAUUUUUUGGAACUAAAUAGAAAAUUCUAGGUCAUAUUGUAAGUUUCUAUAAGAUGAGGAGCUUUCAUAAUGAUAAAUACUGAUCAUUUAAAUAUUUUUUAAGUGAUUACUUAACCAAGGACAUCUUGGAUCCAUGAUAAAUAUUUUUAUCAUGUUUUUAUAGCAUAUAUCAUCUGAACAGUUUACUGGAUUCAUGGAAUAGAGUAUUAACAAAUGGUAAUACCAAUCUUAAAACGUUGCAGCCAUGUGCUUUUAAUUUUGUUAAAUGCCUUUCAAUGUUAUGCCUGACAGACAUUAUUAACAUUUGUUUUUCUUCUGCAGGGACUACUGAAAUUCAUCUUUAUUCUGCUGUAUACGAUAGCAUAACAAAUAAUGAUACAUGUCUGACAGGUCGUUAUUGGCUGGUUCUCUACAAGGCAACACCUCUGAUUAUGGAAUGGUUAAAAGGGGGCAUAGUUCAUAUGAUAAGCUGAAUGAACCUAAUUGUUUUGGUUCUAGAUGGUAUUUUUCUCGCAAGGAAAUUGAAGAAAAUUCUCCAUCCAGAAGAGAUGGAAUUGAAUUGAAGAAAGAGAAAAAUCUUCGGAAUUCAUACUGCAGUUUCUUGCAGGAUUUGGGCAUGAGGCUUAAGUUGUGAGUGCUCUAUGAUGCUUUAUUUUGUGUAACUACUUUUUUGGCAUGCAGAUACUGUAUAUAUGAAAAUAUAUAUCCAUAUCUAAUUUAGAUGAAACAGAGAAUUGGCAGCUCAUCUACAUGACAAAUUUAAGAUGGUUACCAUUGCAAACAAAAAAGAAAGAAAAAGAUUAUUUACUGCACAUCAAGUUUUGGUUUUAGGCCAUCCAAAAAGUGUUUGUAGUAAUAGUUUUCUAUGGAAUGUGAUAUUGUUUUUGAAGGCAUAGAAAUGCAGAUGUAGCUUAUUUAUCUUUAUUGAUCUAUGGCAAUUUCUAUGCAUAAUAUUAUUUACAGUAUAAGAUUUUAGCCCAACUGUUAGUAACUUUUGGUGCUCAUUCAUGACUCCUUCGAUCAUGUUACCAUUAUGUUUCAUCAUUGUUAUCUUUAUAGAUCUAUGGCAAUUUCUAUGCAAACUACUUUUUACAGCAUAGGUGUUAAGCCCAAUUGUUCUUUUCUUUUGGUGCUCAUCUUGGCCCUUCUUGGACUACGUUGCAAUUACAUCUCACUAACCUUGAAGAUUUAUAUUGAUCAUAUUCUAAAGUAUGAAAAGUUGCUUUCUCCAUUUAUGGCUUGAACUUGGAUGAAAAGUAAUACUGCAGGCCUCAAGUGACAAUAGCUACUGCUAUUGUGUUUUGUCAUCGCUUUUUCCUUCGCCAAUCCCAUGCAAAGAAUGACAGAAGGGUAAGUAUAUGGUGGUUCUUAUUUAUGACACACAAGCAUUUAGUGCAUUCUAUUCUCACAUGUGAUGUUUAUACUCUGGUAUGAUUCUUUGUUACAACUAUCACAUCUUUAAUUUGCAUGCAUUCUGGUGUAAUAGCUAUGACAGUCCUGAUGAAUGUUAUUCAGGAAAAAGUGAGAAAAAGAAUUUAUCACACAUUUGGUCCAAAAUUAAAUGAAUGGGAUUUUACAUGAUAAGUAUACAAAAGGACCUGUUAGUUUUAUGUAUUUCAUGCAUUUCAAACAACAGUUUUCUAUAAUUUCAGUAUUUACAUGCAACAGAUUGGUUGGUGUUGCAAAAAUCAAUUGUAGCUUAAAGGUGUUACUCUUGGGAUGGUGUGAUUUGUUACAAAGAUAUUAUUUUUGCAAAGCAGCCUUAGUUAGUUCCAGCAACCUUUGUAUGGUUAUCUAUCAUAAAUUUAGGCCUUAUGUUUGCCGAAAGAGCAUCGUUAUGCACAAUGCAAUCGACUACUGGAUUUGAAAAAUAUAUAGGGUCUUAUCAAAACUGUAAACAGUAAAACCACUUCUUUAAUCAGAGAGCAACUGAAGAAACUGUUGUAGGUUGGUGUAAGCCUGUAAUGACACAUUAUGGAGUGAAAGGUUGAAUGUAAAAGACAACAUGAAAUGGGCCAAAUAUCAGAUCUGAAUAUAUAUAGACUGUUCACCUGAUCAAAAGCUGGAAAGAGCAGAAAAACUUUUGUUGGAUUAAGAAGUAAUCAAAUAACUAUUGUAGAUUGCUAUAGUUAAACAUACAAAGCGAAAACUUGUAAAAGACUAUAUGAAAUGGUCCAAGUAUUAAUCUGAAUAAAAUAAAGGCUAUCACCUGACCUGAAGCUGGAAACAGCAGCAAAAUUCCUGUUUGAUCACGUAGCAACUUAAUAAAUUGCUGUGGGUUGCUGUAGCAGCACACGCUAUGAAGUGAAGGUUCCAGUAGGAAAUAUUAAUUGAGAAAAAUAGGUAGAUUGAAAGAACAUACCAGAAGAAAAAGCUAAGAUAGGCAAUACCAUAUGAGGUACAUUGAUUAAUAUUAGUGGUGUUAAAAGGGUUAUAUGGAGACAUAAGAAAGCUUUUCUAAAAGCAACAAAAAGAGAUGCGUCUCUCUUUUUUAACUAAAGAUAUGCCAUAUAUUAAGCUCAGUGACAAGAGAAGCCCCAUUUUGGCAGCCCCAAACAGUUGGGACAAUACAGCUUUUUGUUGCUGUCAUGGUGGUGGUUGGAAUCUUAACAUUGUUGAUGCCAUAGUAUCUAAUCUCUGAAAACUGUCUAAGUGGGUCCUAAUAAGCAACAGUAAUGUGUGAUAUAAUCAACAAUUUCUGUUUUGAUCACCUGGUAAAGUUUGCCCAUUCUUAUCUCAUCUGUAUAUGUUUUCUGCAGAUAAUUGCAAUUGCUUGCUUGUUCCUUGCUGGAAAGGUUGAAGAUACUUCUCGCCCACUAAAGGAUGUCAUUCUUGUUUCAUGUGAAAUUAUAUACAAAAAGGAACCUUCAGCUGUCCAGAAGAUCAAACAGAAGGUAUCCUGUGAUCUCUUUUCAUAAAUUUUUAUUUUUCAUUUGGCCUUUUGUAUUCAUAUUUAUGAAAGAAAUAUUGCUGCUAUUACUUUACCAUUUAUCUUGUUUUCUACUUAAGUUUUGAAUCCACCUUUUGUCUAAAUAUUGAAAUUCUGAAUUCCUUUUCUUGUGCGCAUUUCUGUUUUCAACUCUUUUGAAUUCCUUCCGUAGAGAAGGAAAAUGUAAAUUUACUCUGUGGCUUUUCUUAACAGUUUUGAAUGCGUCAUGUGAUAUGUUUGCUUGGUAAUGUGCAGGAAGUAUAUGAACAGCAAAAGGAACUCAUUGUACUAGGGGAACGGGUUGUACUUGCUACACUGGGUUUUGACCUGAAUGUGCUCCAUCCUUAUAAACCCCUAGUUGAAGCAAUAAAAAAGUUCAAGGUUUCCACACAGAAUUCUCUUGCACAAGCGGCAUGGAACUUUGUGAAUGAUGGGUAUGUCAGACCUUACCCUCGUGUUCAUCAUUAGUGAUCCCAUGUUGGCUAGGUCAAUCUAUUUGUGUUUCUUUUCCAUCAUUUAUACAUCCAAAAGGGGGGGAAUGCAGGCUGCGAACAUCGCUUUGCUUGCAGUAUAAGCCCCAUCAUAUAGCAGCUGGUGCUGUAUGUCUUGCUGCUAAGUUUCUUAAAGUGAAGCUGCCAUCUGAUGUUGAAAAGGGUUGGUGGCAAGAAUUUGAUGUCACCCCUCGGCAGUUGGAAGGUUCAUGUUUCAUAUUAGAAUACUACUACUCAGCAGGUAUUAUACAGUUAUUAUGGAGAAUAUUGUGUUUCAUUUUUUUUUUUUCAUAUCUAUAUUCCAGAUGUUAGCAACCAAAUGUUGGAGCUUUAUGAGCAAAACCGAUCAGGUCAAUCUUCUCAUUCUACUGAAGUAGAAGGAAACAUUGGUGGUAAUAAUAACGAGCCUAUUGUUACAACUUCAAGUGUUGGUAGGAGUUCAGUGUCAACAAAUGGGCAUGCUCAGGAUGCUGUGUUGACUAAUGUCGAGCAAGGAGGACAAACUCCAGGUCCUGCUUGGUCAUUUGGUUCACAGUCAUAUGCUGACAGUAAUCAUAUAGAUAAUCAUUGCAAACAAGGACAAGGUGAUGGAAAGGAGAGUGCUGGGUGUAAGAGUGAGAUUUGGGACCAUAAUAUGGGCGCUGAAGGCAAUGAUUGUUCAAGUAAUGAAUUUGAUAAGAGUUCAGACUGCAGGGAAAAUACUCUAGAAACUUCAUGUUGCUCUAAGCCUGAUCUACCACUGGGGAGUGCGGUGGUCAAUGAACGAGAUAAGGUGAAGGUGGAUAAGGAACUGAUGGAUGCAGGUUCAUCUACCAAAUCAUUGAGCAUCAGCAGGCAGAUCUCCGACUUUGGUGAAACUGCAAAAAUCUUCUUCCCACCAGAUUCCAUCAACAGAUGCAAAACUAAAGCUGCCUUAGAGAAGCAGCGGAGGCUUCAGAACAAUGGGGGACAGAAAAGAAAAUCAAUGGAUGAGCAUGAUGAUCUCAUAACAAGGGAUGGUUGUGAACUUCCUUGCAAGCUGGCUAGCCAGAGAGCUAUGGUUACAGGAAGAGAGCCAGAGUAUAUGCAGCAGUGUCACAAUCGUCACCAGUCAUGUGAUACAACAGGAUCCAGAGGCAACAGGUAAUGAAUCUCUCAUAUACGAGAGGCACUUGGAUGAGGAAUCUUUUUACUGGUUUUUUCGUUAAUAACACAGUCUAUGUACUUUUUGGCCAGUAUUGGUACUAGUAUCUGUUUAGUGGUACAUUUGCUCGUGAGGUAGAUUGAUGGCAUGAUUCUGUUUCCUUCUGGUUGCUGUGCAGGUUGGAGAAGUUGCAUAACAAGCCAUAGAAGAGAGGAAGAGAAGUCAGUCACAACACUAGUUACUUUGGUAUGUGGGGAUUCUCACGUGCAUUUUAAUAAAAUCUACUGUGCAGCAUUAUACUUACUUGUUGGAUCUUUACAAUGUUCUCUGGGCUCUUAGUAAUUACGUCGAGCUGAUGUGCAAAUUGGAUCCACAUACACGCUUUUGAACGGUUGCAAAUUUCAUGACAGAGAUAUUCACUGGUGUGCUGCGUGCAUUUAGCAACAUUUACUUUACAUGAAAGUUCAUGUUGACCGUUGGGGGGUUCGUCUUCUCUUCGGGAUUUGUAGAGUACAACAGAAAUAUAUUGCAGAAAUGGGUUAUACAAUUACGAGAGGAACCUAAAAAGAAACACACGCAUUAAUAUGUGAGAACAUAUUAAAAUAUUCUUGCUCGAACUCCCGGUUUGUUCUUGUCCGGAGCCGGCUGGUUUCUAUGAGCUUUUCGCCAUCCACCAAAGUGCUUCAGACCAUCUUUCGGAGCACCUGACACAAACAUAUAGCACCACAACAGGCAACAAACAGAACGAUUUAUUCUAGGCUAAGACCAUCCACUACACACGCAAGGCCACGAUAUAUAGUUCAAAUACUAAAUUAUUUAGAUCUCAAAAUCCAUGCAUAGCAGAAGACGAUACAGAAAACAAGACUACCAGACUCACAAAAAUCCUUGGGAAAGAGCAGACAUACGACAAUUGUCUCAAGUUUUAACGUAGAACAAUAAUAAAAUAGAAGCCAACCAUCAACCCCGCCACCGCCUGUCGAGCACCCAGUUCUGCUUCCAGACACCACCAGAUACCAUACCUGAGAGCUCGUCAACACGUCGGCACGGAGACAUGACAACAAGACUAUUAAUGACUCCAGACACGAAUGAUCCCCAAUCCUCAUUUCAUUUCUUCUUCUGAGCUGCUUUGGUAACCUUAGCGCCAGAGGGAUCCUUCUUCUCCACGCUCUUGAUGACACCCACAGCAACAGUCUGCCUCAUGUCUCUCACAGCAAACCUACCUAGUGGAGGGUAGCCAGAGAAGGUUUCCACCACCAUAGGCUUCGUAGGAAUCAUCUUCACAAAACCUGCAUCACCAUUCUUAAGGAACUUGGGCUCCUUCUCCAGCUCCUUGCCAGAUCGCCUAUCAAUCUUGGUUAACAACUCAGCGAAUUUGACUGCAAUGUGAGAGGUGUGGCAAUCCAAGACAGGAGCAUAACCAUUCCCAAUUUGGCCAGGGUGGUUCAUGAUGAUAACUUGAGAGGUGAAGUUAGCAGCCUCCUUCGCUGGGUCAUCCUUGGAGUUUGAGGCAACAAAACCACGUUUCAAAUCCUUCACAGCAACAUUCUUUACGUUGAAGCCAACAUUGUCACCAGGUAAAGCCUCCUGGAGUGCCUCAUGGUGCAUCUCCACGGAUUUGACUUCUGUAGUGAGUCCUGUAGGACCAAAGGUGACAACCAUACCAGGUUUCAGUACUCCAGUUUCAACACGACCAACAGGAACAGUUCCAAUGCCUCCAAUCUUGUAAACAUCCUGAAGAGGAAGGCGAAGAGGCUUGUCCGUUGGACGCUUGGGCUCAUUAAUCAAGUCAAGGGCUUCAAGGAGUGUCGGGCCCUUGUACCAGUCAAGGUUGGUGGAUCUCUCAAUCAUGUUAUCACCUUCAAAACCAGAAAUGGGCACAAAAGGAAUCUUAUCAGGGUUGUAGCCGACUUUCUUCAAGUAGGACGAGACCUCCUUAACAAUUUCAUCAUAUCGUGCCUUCGAGUAUUUGGGUGUUGUGGCAUCCAUCUGAAAAAAGAAUAUCAUAAUCCUUUAAAAAACCAAAAUUUAAAUAACAAAAGCAUCAUGUACCACAUGCAAUCACAUUGCAAAAUUACCUUGUUGCAGCAACAAAUCAUCUGUUUGACACCAAGAGUGAAAGCAAGAAGUGCGUGUUCACGAGUCUGUCCAUCCUUUGAUAUACCUGCUUCAAAACCACCAGUUGUGGAAUCAAUGAUGAGAACUGCACAGUCAGCCUGAGAAGUUCCUGUAAUCAUGUUCUUGAUGAAAUCCCUAUGACCAGGAGCAUCAAUGACUGUGCAAUAGUACUUCGUGGUCUCAAACUUCCACAGAGCAAUAUCAAUGGUGAUGCCACGUUCUCGCUCAGCCUUCAGCUUGUCAAGCACCCAGGCAUACUUGAAUGAUCUCUUGUUCAUUUCAGCAGCUUCCUUCUCAAAUCUCUCAAUAACACGCUUGUCAAUGCCACCAAGUUUGUAAAUGAGAUGUCCAGUUGUUGUAGACUUUCCAGAGUCGACAUGGCCAAUGACGACAAUGUUAAUGUGAACCUUCUCCUUUCCCAUUGCUUAUUUCUUGUUGAACUAAGGACUGUAAAAUGUCAACCAAGAAUAUAUCAGCCUCAAAACUAGCUUUAACCGAAUUACAUGACAACAAAAAAUUAAUAUAGUAGCACAGUGGUCAACUAUUGCAGAUUUGAUAAGUUCAGAUAGAUGGUAGCACUGUAGCCUACUGCAUUAUACAAUAUAACAAAGCAGUCACUACAGCCAUCACAUAGGGUAACAUGUCACUAGAAAUUAAAAAAACAAUUUAGAAGAAUGUAAAGUCAAUAUAUACAAAAAAAUAACUGAUAACCUCUCCUAAAGAUGGUUAUAUAUGUCCAUCAAAGUGAAUGGUAAAUGAUAAAUACAAAAAUGUACAAGCAGAUUGUAUCAUACAACAAUGUUUAUCAUAAAUUACCAAAUACCUAAAUUACAUUCAACAAUAACCACAACUUUCAUAUAGCAUUACAAUACCUAAUAGUCAAAUGCAUAAUAGGAGAGAAAUUACAAGCAAAGAUAAGGAAGAGAUCACAAACUAAGUACAAGCAAGACCACAAAAGAUCAAGGCACCAAGAUAGAGAAGGGGAGGAAAAACUAGUAUAGAGUAAUUGCAAGUUUUACCAUGCCUAUGAAAGCAUACCCUAACUCAUUUUUAGUCAUGAAGUUUCUUCCUAUAUUUUGUAAAUAAAAGGAAAUUUAAUUUCCAUGUUGUAUUUUGUCUUAUUUUAUCACAAUUUUCUAUUAAUGCUUGUGUUACUUAUUCACCAUAAAAUUGUUAGAUCCAAUAAUUAUACUUGGUAAUAGGUUUCGACACUAGACAAAACAACAACACAACAUUAAAAAAAGAUUAAAAAGCACAAAAUUUUUAUCUUUAAUACCUUUGCAUUAUCAACUACUUAAAAAUAAUAAUAAUAAUAAAUAAUAAUAGUUAAUUAAUUUAUCUUUAACAAAAACAAAAAAAAAUAUACUAUUGGAAAAAAAGAGAACGAUGAGCGGCUCAAGAAACUUCAACUAACGAAAUCUAAAAAUGAUUUGUCUCUAGUUAGUAUGACAAGAUGUGGUUUCUUUGGAACCUUGUAAAGUAUGACUAAUCAUACAUAUUCGGUCAUUAAAGGGCAAUCAUCAAGAUUCCACAAUCUUUAACAGUUCUUUCCGUUGAUCAACCUUAAAUCAAGCAAACAAAAGAUUAAACCAUCAAAGAAACACAACUUCCUACAGAUCGGAAGGAUAAACUACCAAACCACAACGUAGGGAAAGGAAAACGAGUGAUAAGAUCUAAGUUUUACGACGAAUCAUACAUCUUGGAUCAUUAAAGAGCAAUCAUCAAGAUCGAACAAUCUUUAACAGUCGUCCCAUUGAUCAACUUUAAAUCAAACAAACAAACAAGCUUAAGCCCAUGAUGAAACGCAGAACUUCCUACAGAUCUGAAGGAUAAACUACCAAACCACAACGUAGGAACAAGAAACCGAUUGAUAAUAUCUAAGUUCUACAGAACCGAAUAGCUUCCUACAGAUCAGAAGAAUAAACGACCAAACCACAACGGAGGAACAAGAACGCGAUCGAUAACAUCUAGGUUUCCCGAAUCAAACAAAAAAUACAACCAAAUCACGAGAGAGGAACAAAAAUACGAUUGAAAAGAUCUAAGUUACCUGGAUCGAACGAAAAAUACAACCAAAUCAUGAAAAACGAACAAGGAACGUUCGGAAAUCGCGAUUAACGAGAUCCCCCUACGAUCUUGACAAGAGAAUGUAAUACGCAUGAGAAGAAAUCUAACCCUAAGGAAGAGGGAGCCGAGGAGAGAUGGAGAGAUCGGCGGCCGCCGCGCUCCUUCGAGAUCGAUUUGCAAAGAGAGACAGAAACCCUAGCCCGACCCACUUGGAACUUAUAGCUGACAUGAUGACCUAAAAUGCCCUUAGGGUUUGCAUUGAUAACGAGGGUAAAUUAGUCACUUUACUAUGUCCAGCAUACUUUGUGGCGGCGGCGCGGUGGCGACCGAUGUUUUUAUUCGCACCCGUCUCUUCCGUACCCGCCGCAUCUACCCAUUCAGCACGCUGGGUGUAAGGCGGAAUGGACGUCUGUAAUUGGACGACUAACCAUCCGAGUACACAAAAGGUGACCGAAUUUAGUGUCCAUUUCUUUGUAUUGAUUGAUUGAUAAGAUUUGCUUAAGUAUAUGAGGAUUUCAAGAGAUUUUUGAUCGAAAGCUGAAGAACUCCUCUUGUUAAUAUAAUUUGUGAUCAUCAUCGUUCGUCAAUACUAUUAAGGUAAUCGGUCUAAAUUUAGGUGAAAACACAAUUCUCCUUCGACUUGUUCCAAGCUAUAUUGGAUCCGAAAAUGAUACAAAUGUCAAAGUUGAUGUUAUUUCUUGAUAGAAAUUGAUCGAUGUGAUGUUGAAUUUUUGCGCCAAUCGUGACUUGUGAUUCUUGGAUAUCUUUUUGCGUUACUCAACUUUAGAUUUAAAGGUCUAAUUUUUAUUGAUUGGCACAACACAUCCAACCAAAAACCUUAGGUGGGUUGGGCUUUGAUGUCUCUGCAUCCCUUAGAAUUUUGGCUUGGAAAUAGAGUCAUGUAAUAGAUCAAAGAAUGCCAAAUCAUUUUGAUCUCUGCAAGGAAGUCCAGUCCAUGAACUAUACAAUUCAAGGGCUGAGCCUUGCAAUUGGCCAGCUUGACCUGAUUUGCUAUCUUCAACAAUCUGUAGAACUUCCAAAUAGUUGACAUUGACAUCUUCUACAUUUCUCCUUGGCCUUGCUUCGAUUGCUUGAUUCACUAACUUGUGUAUCUUCUACAACUUAACAAGAUUGCAGUCAUCAAACAUGGAUCAUGUGCUUCCACUUCCUGCACUUGGCUCUAUGUUUAUUCUUUUGGUCUCUCUAUCAGAACAAAGACCAGGAGGUAUUCAGCUUGCUAGCAAGAAGACCCACCUUCUCAUACCUGUGAGAGGACAGUAAUAAAGAUUGCCUUUAGCUGCUUGCAUGAACUUACUUGUCUUGUUCAUGGCAUGUAACUCAUGAAUUCUGCAUUCUUGUUUUGGCCUGGUUAUGUUUUUGGUAUCUUUGGUAAGGAGUCGAAGCUGGCAAUAGAUGAUAAGAGCAAGGUGGUGAUGAUGAUUCACAUCAUGUUUGCAGAGGGUGACAUAUUCUUCCUUUCUUCAUUCUGAGCCUCUUGAGAAGGAACAUAUGCAUAUGUGAUAUGUUUGAGUGUGGUUUUGUCUUUCUCUUUCUUUUCUUUUCUUUUUCCCCCCCUUUUGUUUUGGUAAAGCCAAGCUAUAGAGAUGGUUUGAUUUGGAAUUGAAUUAGAUGUACAGAAUCUUUUGUGGCUCACACACUAUCUGUCUCCUCUCUCUCACAUUAGUAAUGCUCAGUGUUAUUAGAAGGUAGCAUGAAUAGAAUGUGUUUGUUUUCUCUUCAUUGUCGGAUAUGUUUUAUGCUAGCGAGAGAAUCAUAAAAGUGUUGGUGGGGUCAAGAUGUUGCCUUUGGUGGGGUUUGAGCUAUGCUUUUAGGAUAGCAAUGCAGACUUUAUCUGAAUUCUUCUUGUCUGGAAUGGGAUGUAGCUGCACAGAAUGGAACAGAAGAAGAGUGCAAGCUCAGAUGUUCCUGCUCUCAUGACCUUUACCUCAGCUGCUGCACCAAAGUCUUUUAUGUUCAUAUUUGGAAGACAUAUUAACAGAAAAGAUCUGAUCCAUCUUUCUGGCUCUGUUUUUUCUGCUCCAUAGUGCUCUUUGGAAGGUCUUCAGCUAUCCAAUCCCAUCACUUCUGAAAGGAUUGAUCAGAUCCAAGCAUGUCUCCAAAGUUUCAAGAUUAAGUGUAUCAAGCCUUUUGUACUAUAAAUCCAGUUUUUACCAACAUCUAUCCCACCAAAAAGACCCAAAAAAAGAAAGAGUUGCAAUUGAGUGAACACACAGAGUUCUUUGGUUGCACAAAUUGUCACAUUCUCACUAUGACAUAAUCACUUUGUCCUAAGAAAGAUGAAAUAAUUAUAUGUAUAUAUAGAUAGCUAUAAAGCUUUCCUUAAACUAAAGCUAAGCUUAAUCAAACUUAGGACAGAAUCCACCAUCUUUUAUUCUUCUUUUUGAUGCAGAGAGUGAAGUUGAGAGGAAUGAAACAAGCAAGUUUAAGGGAAACCUUCUUGCAGUAACAUACAGUAUAUAAAUAUGUGUGAUAUUGUGACAGUAACUUCAUUUAUAGUUCCGUGUAGGACUUGUGGAAUUCUCUAAGAAGAUUGCGAGAUCUUUGAAUGUUGGAGGUAGGCAGUGGGUCAAAAUUUGCUCCUUACUUUCCGAGACAGGUAAUGGCACAGUGUCAAACAGUGGUACUGUUGAAGACAUCAAGCUCAGAGGGAAGGCAGCGACGGACGUAAACCCUUAGAGGUUACCGGAUGCUUUGAAUCUUUUAGGAAGUGCCUGUAGGAGCCUUGUUUUCUUACCUUAUGUCCUUGGUUUUCUCUACUCGAAAAGAUUCUACAAAGAGAGUCUCUUAGUUGUCUUCUCCUGCAUUAAGGUAGGGCUGAAAAUGAUCAUCUUCUUCAUUAGAAAAGAUCCUGUAAAUGAUAUAUAAGAAGCUCAUGAACUUUUUGGCUAUACAGAUCAACCUGGAAUGAUGAAUCUUUAGGUAUCUUCUCACACUGACCUAAUAAAGAAAUAAGUAGGCAGAAUAACUUGUGCUGGAAAUAAUGAUACAAUCUGCAAUAGGUUAGGGCUGAAAAUGAUGAGAGCAAAACUUUAAAAAGUCAUACAUGAAAAGUAAUUUUAGCUCAUUCCAUAAGAUGUGAAGUUUAAAUCUACUGAACUAUAUAUUUUAUGGUACCAUAUGACCUAAAGAAGAUUAAACAUUAUGUUGUAAACUGAUAGAUUCUGGAAAUUUUGAAUGAGGAAAAGGAAAACUAUGAUCAUUACUUGUAUGCACAAAGAUUUGAAAUCAAGUUGAUACAACAAGCACACCAUAACUGCAGAAACAUAUGAGCUCUAACCUGACUUGUUUUUGAUAUCAGGAUACAAAAGUACCACACCCAGUGAAAUGUUCUGUGCAUAUAUUAUACUUCUUUCAGACUGAAAGGUACACAUCCUCACUGCACAAACUCAAAAAACCAUUAACUGAAGAAAAGGGAUUGAGAACCAUAGCACAAGCAUAAAAAAAAAUAAACAUGCUUUAUGAUCAAAUUGUGGAGUUUGAUAGAUGACUUUGUCUUACAUUAGGCUUUGUGUCAUACAAGUUGUCUUCACAUCUUCAAAUUUUGAAUAUGAGGAGAUAGUGGACUUUGUAUGUGCCCAACAGGUAUUGGGGCAACCAUAGCCUUCCACCAAACCAUUCUCCCCAUGGAUUGCUGGUACUUGGAAGGCAGCAGUACAUUUGGUCACUAGUCUCUGUUGGACAUAUGGAUCCAACACAGGAUGCAAUAUGGCCACCACCACAGUCCACAUGCAAUAUAUUCCAAGUGAAGUCUGAGGAGGUUCAAUGUAUUAUACAAUGAGACAAGCUGACCAUUCAAUAGGCAGCAUAUACAAAUAUACAGUCUGAGUAGGUUGAAUGUAUUUAUCCGAUAUAUUCGGUAUAAAGACCUAUAUCGUCCGAUAUAUAAGGUCUAUAUCAUGUGGUAUAGAAUUUUUAUUGAUUAGUAUUUUUUUUUAAUUUAUCUUUAGCUCGAUACGUAUCGAUGUGUCGAUAUGCUAAGCUUAGAUGUUUAGAGGUCCGAGAUCGGGAGAAUAUAAAAUUACUAAUGGUUGUAGUAAAUUUGGGCUUUAGUUGAACCAAUCUGACCUUCCAAUUCCAAACCAAAGAGAUGGUGGGAAAGUUUUGAUGAUUAGAGUAGAAAAAUGGGGUCUUUGCAAAGGAUGUGCAAGAGAAAAAGAUGGAGUGAGAGUGCUACAUGCAACAUAGACAAGGAAUAAUCCCCACAUCAGAGUCGAGGUAGGAUUAGGUCAAAAGGGAUGGAGGUGGGAGUGAAGUUGCCACCAAACAGUCCUAUCAAAGUCCUUCACCAUUGAUCACUAUGAACAUUAAUCAUAAUUUGCCCACCACAUUUCUUUUUGUAUUUAAUUCAACUAUGCUAUCCAAUAAUACAUAGAGUGAGUAGGGCUAGUAUAGGUGUAAAUCCAGAAUCUGAUACUGAGAGAAAUGGCCUUUCAUGGAGUCCACUCAGGUAGCUCAGACUGAUCAAUUUCCCAUGGAAUUUAGCUCAUAGAUGACAGAAUCAUCAUACCCCCAACUUGAUGCAAGUGAAGAUUAUUCUUGUUAGGUUCAAUUCCAUCAAUGGUCAUGUCAAGCAUUUGGUCCUUCUUUUGUAGUUGUGCUGUAGGGGUCAUAGGUGUGAUGUAUUAGUAAUACCAAUGCAUGUAGGUUCAUAUAGAGAGAUGAUAAUUAGCACAAUUAAGUUGUUUCAUAGUCCCUUCAGUGGUAGUGCAGCUUCUACAAAUUCCCCUAACUCAUCACAUCAAUGUUGCACUCUUCUUUCUCCCUCUCCUCAUUUGUUUAUGUCUUGCCUCCAACCCUUUCAAUGUUACUUUUCUUUUUUUCCCUACUAUUAUCUCUCUCUCUCUCUCUCUCUCUCUCUCUCUCUCUCUCUCUCUAUAUAUAUAUAUAUAUAUAUCUCCUCACUCUUACUUUGACUGUAUACUAUCUGACUCUUUCUGCCACCACCAUGGUUUCAAUCUUUGGGCGUUGGCCUUUUUGAGUGUAAAGCUGAGUAGAAGUCUCCCCUCCCUCUUUCUUCCUGAGAUGGUUAAAUAAGAAGCUAUAGCAAGCCAUCCUUACCUUUCCUCAAUCUUUAUCUCUCCUCAACGCCACAGCCCCCUUCAUUCAUUCUCUCUCUUUAUUUCUUUGACUAUUCCCCUCUCCACUCUCCUCCUUCUCCUCCUCCUCAAAGCUUCUUCCACAGCCCAUUCUUAGAUCCAUGGCUCCUACCAGAGCACUACAGAUCCAAAAUAUCUUCUUCUUUCUAGUGCUUUAUGCUCUUUCUGUAAUCAUGGCUUCCUCCUCUCUCUUUGCCUCCCUCUGUUAAGUGCUACUGCUAUAUAUUAUCUUCUCUUCCUGACCUCUCAUGGACUCGGUUAACAGCGGGAGCCUUCAGUCCUCCAGCGGCGAAGGCAAUGAGUUCAACUCAAGCAGUGCCGACUCCCUUUCUGCCUUCUUCCGAUCCACCGCCGCCGCCGCGCUUCCGCCUCCGCAACCGCCACCGCCCUCCUCCUCGGUCCACAACCACCACUUCUUCGACCCCAUCUCCUACCUCGACUCCAUCACCUCCACCACCCCCUCCUGGCCGCCUCGCGCCCUCCGCGCCUCCCAUAAUGUCGGCGUCUUUCCCUCCAUCACCACCACCCCCUCCUGCUCCUCGCCCGACGUCAACUACCCGACGCCGGUGCAACCGCCCGACCUGUCCGCCGCCGCGCCACGGAGCUCGAAGAAGCGGUCGAGAGCCUCACGCCGGGCGCAGACGACGGUGCUGACCACCGACACCUCCAACUUCCGCGCCAUGGUGCAACAAUUUACCGGCAUACCAUCUCCUCCGUUCGACAUCGCCCCCACCGCUACGUCUUCGUCCCCCUUUGCCAGAUCACUCCUCAACGUCUUCCGUUCCGCUGCUGCCUUUGGAUCCACCUCUGCCCCUCCGCCGCCGCCUUUCCUCCUCCGGCCCUUCCAGCCUAAGGUCCAAGGUUCUACCUUAACUACAACUACCACUACUGUUACCACUGCCCCCGCCAUCUGUUCUUCUUCUACUACCACUGGUUCUAACGCUAGCACAAGCUUUGCUGCUACUAACAGUACUAUCUUCGAUUCCAGUCUCAGUGCCUCAGCUCGAAUUUCUACUACUAGUAGUAGUGCUAAUCCAUCUAAUAACAACAACAACUACCAAUUGCCUUCACCUACUCUUGCAUAUGGCAGCAAAAGCCAACCACUUCUGAGCACCCAAAACCACAUGCUUACCUUGCAAUCCCUUCUCCACGCAAAGUGCACAAAGCCUCAAAUUCCUAUGCCGUCAGCCGAGCAAUCGAGAUGGACCAACGGGUACCCAACAGAGGCCGGCGAUCGUGCUCGGUCGAGUCCGAUCUCUGCAGGAAACUCCAGUGGCUCGCAGCAAGGAAUGAGCAGUUGCAAGCUGAACUACUUGGCGCCGGGUUCAUCGGAGUGCAGUGCGGAGCAAGGGUCGGAGCGCGCCACAGCGUCGAGGAGUGAAGGUGCGAUGGACUCCUGGAUUUUUUCUUCAGAUUAGCAGAUAGAGAAGACUUUGUCGUGGAGGCAAAGAGGAAGCAGAUUAGGGCUCUUGACUGCAUCUGUUAUUCAACUGCUAAGGCACUUUGCAUCCAUGACUCGUUUUAUCUUUCAUAGAUUGUGUAUAUGAAUAUAGGAUUUCUCUUGUGAGAUAUCUUGAUGGCCAUUUUUGUAUCCAAGGAAGACAUGUCUGAGAACAGUGGUGGAGGGUAAAAGACAAUGCUCUUUCAGAUGGAAGAGAGAGAAAGACACUGUGGUGCAGUAGUGCAACUGUGUCAUGCUUGGUCGAGUAGGAAAGAUUUGUGUUGCAUCAUGUCGUUCCUUGGUUUCAACGACUGUUAUAAUAUAUGUGAGUUUGGAUCAUGUUGUGGGAGUGAUUGGUGGCGAGAUUUGGGGAAUCAUGAGCAGAAUCUCUAGGUGUUAGAACAGGAAUACCUCCAGGCUUAAAGAAAUGAGCGAAGGGAAACUUCCUUUGGAACUGCUCCACAUGAAGUGUUCCCCAAGAACGCACUCCACCCAAUAAACAACAGCAGUCCCAACCACCAUCUGUCUAUCGGAAACAAUGAAUCAAGAGAAGGCCAUGCAUUAGCUUAAUGUUAUAACUUCUCUGGAGAGAGAGAGAGAGAGAGAGAGAGAGAGAGAGAGAGAGAGAGAGAGACCAAAGUCAACUUCUGCUACGGCUGUUCAUUGGUAGCGUUUCCGGAGACUAGUAUCCAACGUAGCAUUCUUCCCCUAUGCGAGUCGAAGAUCUCACUGAGCUCAGUCAGAACCCCAUUCCCGUUCCCAUUCCAUCACCAGCAUACCUGUGUCUCGGGUAUCAGAUACAUCAUGCUUGGAAGCGUAUGGAUCAUCAGAUCAGUAAUAUAUCCACAAACGCGACUUCUUACAUCAUAUUUCUGAAGGGACCAAAAGUUCGAAAAGAAGGAUGAAUUGAGACCACACGGGUCACUGUCCCCUUGAGAAUAAAAUCCAACACUGUUUCCCUUGUUCCAAGAUAUGUCAAUCUCUGAUCAUGUUUUCUUCUCUGAGAACGAGGGAGAUGUGUACCGUAGGCAUGAUACCAAGUAUCCUUCUCGCACUUCUUUUCAGAAUGAUCUGGACAGCUGAUUAGCCAUGGGGUUAUGGGAAGAUUGAGCAAUGAGGUGAGAGGGAGAUGUGCAUACCUUUCAAGCACAAAGUUGAUUGAUUUAACAAAAGUGGGAAUAAUAAUGGGUGUCACAUGAAAUCAUAGUGGCCAUGGCAGGGAAUAAUCUGUUCUCUCGCAAUGAUGUCUCACUUCCCCCCCUCCCCUUGUGGGUCUUGUGAGGCAGACUGUUGAGUCUUUGCUCAAGGCAGGGUGUGGGGGCUCUCCCAACUCCCCCAGCCAAACACCGGCCCUCCCUCCUCAGAAGUCCUACAAGUUAGAGCCAACCUAAAAGAUACAAAGCUUUUCAGUUCUUGCUGAAAAGGCUGACAAGAAGUGGAAGCCACACUCCACCCUCUAAGAAAAGCAUUUACUCAUGCACCAGCAUUUGGUGUGAUACAGCAAACAAGAAUUACUGGAAAGAUGUGAAUGGGCAACUCCUGCCAUUCAUUUCUCUCACCUUCUUAUUCAUCAGUUUAGCUUAUACAUCUGAACUGAUAGAACCACAAAUUUAUCUUUACUUCAAUUUACAGUCCACCUGAUAUGACAUCUAAUAAUUUUGGAGGGCAUAACAAUCAUGAAUUUUGCUGAGAAUAUUUACUUUAUGAACUAGCAAAUGUACUCUAUGACAAACCCCAAAAUGAAAGCAGACUGCAAGCUGACCAGAGCAGGCCAGUGAAUAAGAUCCUAGCAUUUGACUUGUAGCUUAGACUAACAAUGCCUGGUUUGACCAGACCAGAGACAAGUCUAGAGACAUUGCUUGACCGGUCAACUGAGAUGGAUGAUUCACAAUUUUGUUUUUCUACAUUUUCUUUUGGUUUUAGCUUCUUCUACAUACAUAUUAUGUCUCAAAGCUAUACCCUACUUACUAUAACUCAGAAAGGUAAAAUCACCAUGAAGCUUGUCAAAUGAUUUUUUCUGAGCAGUUAGAUGGCUAUUUCCCUGCAGAAUAAUAGUCAAAUUUGCCUGACAAGAUGGAGAAAGGAUGUGAAUUGGUUAUCUCUGAUAAAAUGCAGACUGGUAGCAGAGUCUAUCAGUGGACUCCUCAAUGACAAAAAGCCAAUUGAAAGAAACUUGAAACUGCUGAUGGAGAAGGCAUGUAUCACAGUCAUUCCAGUUAAGACACAUUGGUAGCAGAGUCUUAGUAGUGGGCUGCUUGAUCACAUAAUGCCAAUUACAAGAUAGUUCAAACUGAGAUUAGUAGCUCACCAUGGUUGUGGGAUCCUCAUGUGAACAAAUAAUUAUGUUGGAAAGAUUGGUAGGCUUCACAGUGCAUAAUGAAUGGGGAAAACCUCCAACCAAUGAUUUCAUAAGAUUGUGAAAUUAAAUGUACAGAAAGAAAGAGAGAAAAAAACAAGAGGAGAAAACCCAAAUAAAAAAUGCUUUGACAGAACAAAAUAAAAGGGGCACCCUAGUCACAAGAAACUGCAGCAAUGCAAGAUUGAUGGUUUAGAUUAUCUGAGAUUUUUGUUGUUAUUUUGGCUUUUUUGGGAGUAAAAAACAGUUCUAACAAUGUGAAAAAGAAUGCAAAGAACAAAACUACAUAACAGAGAAACUCUAUAUGAAAAGUAGAUGAUUUCAAUAAGCAAUUUGAGGAAGAUAUCCUGGAUUUACCUUCAUAAACUCUUUUAUUCUACAAUGAUGACUAGUAGCCUAUCAGUCACUCUCACCUUAUUCCAUGAUUACAUAUACAAAAGUGACUCUGUUGCUUUUUCAUAUUAAAUCAUCAAGACACAUGACACUCAUAUACAUGACCAUCAGUACAAUUGAAUCAUUAGCCCUAAUUCAUAUUUGUCUUAUCUUUUUGACAGUGUACCACAACUUUGACCAAGACUUAGAAAGAACUUGUAUAAAAACCUAAGCAAAAUUCCUGGUGAUGAAAGGUCCAAAAUAAAAUUUCAAGUCUUGCUUCAGUCCAGUUAUGAGUUCUCAUGGCAAAGAAAACUAAAAGUUUUAUACAAAAGGUAAAGAAUUUGGACAAUUAAUUAAAUGAAAAGCUCAUUUUUUAUCUUUAAGAAGCAUGAGAAAGAAUAAAAGCUCUCCAAUAAGUUCACAUCUCCCUUUGAUUUGGUUGAUGAGACUCCUAUCUACUAGCUCACAACCUUCUUUGUCCUAUGUACAUAGGAUGUGACAUAGGUAAAGGAUGCAGGGAAUUUUUUUUGUUUAGAUAUGAAGGGAGUAGAAUCUACUAGGUUUUAGGAAAGUACAUAGUGAUCUUUCUUUUUCACUCCUUUGAUUUUUAUUUUAUGAAGUUGUCUAAUAAUUCAUCAAUGUACACUUGAUGAUUUGGAAUUGCAUGCUAAACUACAAAUGCAAGUAUAUGGGUGUUUUUAAGUCUUGAAUUCAUCUCUACUACUCUACUGUAAGAAAUCAAGGUAGAGUUACAUAGUAGCAAGCUUAGUUUCAUCAUGCAACAAUAACAAGCCAUAAUUUUCAGGAUUUAUUCUCACUAAAUCAACAUUUAUUAGGGAUGAUUUUCCUACAUAAGAUAUACUAAAUUCUUACUAAUACUUACAAGGAAUGUGCAUUUUUUGAUAAAAGAAAUACAAGAAGAAAGACAAAGGAGAGGAAUUCUGAAUCAUAUGAACAAAACUAAGCUUAUAGGCCAAACAAAGUAUCCAAUUAUUUGUCCAAAAUCAAAUUAAUCAAUAAUUUCCCAAGAAUGUUUUCUUUUAUUAAAUUAUCAAUUAAUUCUUAAAUUAUUUUUUAUUGGUUUAGGAACAAGUAAUUUGUCACUAUCCAUUAAUUCUAAAAAUAGUUUUAGCAUAUCAAAUGUAAUCUGAAACCCAAAAUCCUCAAUCUCUUCUCAUCAAUACCAUCUUAUUUUUGGGGGCAACAAGUCAUAUUUAUCCCAAUUGCUAUCAAUCAAACAAGAUAUGUAGUAAAGUAAAAACCAUAUUUCACUUAAACAUCAUGAUUUUGAUUUACUAACAUAUUAACUAACAUUUUAACAUUAUGCUUUUGAUAUAAAAAUCUAUAUCCUAAUUAGCAUAAUAUUUCUGUUGAGAUAAUCGAGUGCAUUAGUAUGAUGUUAUACAAGUGAUAUGUCUCAUGUUGGAGUUACAUUUGAGUAUAUAAUUUGAUGUAAUAAUAUAUUUUUUUUAUUUUUUUAAAAUGACUGUCAUAACAAUUAUAGGUAAUUAAAAUUUGGGCAACUAAAAAUCCAUUUUAACCUUAAAUCCUCAUCUCUUUAUUAAUAGGAUAUUAAUACACUAUUAUUUUAAAUUAUUUUAUUAAUUAAAAAAUAAUUUGAGUCUCUCAUCAAAAUUUAAUAGGAAAUUAAACAAGCAAUUAUAAGAGUAAUCCAAUUUGAGUUAGGAGAGUCACAAAGAGAAGCUUUUAAAUCCAUAUUUACACACACACAAAAAAGGGUAGAUAGUGUUCGACCCACGGUGUAAGAGCAACUAUUGGGACCCACAGUGUUCGACCACUCAGCAUAAGGGUAGCUAGUGACGGGUAGAAUAAUUCCGCUUCUAGAAACAGACUGGUGGCGGCAGAGCAACAGAGUCUGUCCGGUCCCGGUGAAACUAGCGGCGGUCGUGGGGUGCGACGACGAGGUGGGGACGGCGCUUCAGGCCUCGCCCAAGGGUCUCAGCUCCCUCACUCUCUUCCGCUCCUUCGUCCAGUACUCCUGCUACACCCCGGGUACACUCCCACCCGCUGCCCUCGGCGCCUUCCUCUGGGCCUCGGCCACCUUCCCCCAGGUGCGUGCCUGAAGAUUUACCUUGAUUUGUAAGUCACAUUUUAGUCGGUAUGACUUGAUGUCGGUGGGUUUGCUUCGUUAAGAUCUGGAAAUGCGGAGGUGAUUUUGGCUCCAAAAAAUUGGAUCUUGUAGUUUGCAUUAAUUCCUGUUUUUGCAUAUGCUAACAUAAUUCCACUAUGUGGGUUCAGUGUAUCUGACAAACAAUGUAUGACACACAUAGAAGUCCUUUGUUCAAUCAUUUCUUGCUUAUAGCUAUUUUCCAAAAAAUAGAGUUUGGACGCAGCUGUUUUGGUUGACAACUGAACAUAAUGUUAGAGUUGCUGAUGAAUAUUAUGUAGUUUGUAGGACUGGAAACAUAGAAUUGGAUCCAAAUUGGAGGAUAGGAAGAACUUAGACUAUUUCAUUUCAUUCUUCUUGGUUGUCGCCUUCUUCAAUUGCUUGCCUUAUGGAAAAAAAUGUCUAAACGCAAUCUGGCUUGACGACUAUGAUAAACAGGAAUUGUUGUCAUCAGAUCUUUAUUCCUUCGACUUACUUUCUCCGAAACCAUCAAAAAUUUCCUUAGCCAACUUGCUUGAGAAGUGGCAAUCGAUGUUGAAACAUUUUCGACUUCUACAAAAGAUUGUGUCACUGUUAUUACUGCAUUUUUAAACUCGAAGAAAAUAUACCUAAACCAAUAUCUAACAUAACUAAAAGUUCCCUUCAUAUCAUUAUUAUGUCCACCAAAAAAUCCAGUCAACUAUUUAAUAGAUGGAAUUAUAUGAAUCAACCGGUUGGAUGGGAAGAGAGUUAUAACGUUUUUCCCGAAGAAAGCUAAUCCUAUUUGUUAAAAAUAUGCAAAGGAUUCAUUUUACGGAAUCACAAACUCAGUUGUCCGCGAUCAAUAAAAGAUAUGUUGUAUUUGUAGCACCAUCAAAUUAUGUGGAACCAGUCAUUAAAUAAUGAAUACAAGGUCAAUGGAAUCAUAUCAUGAACUAUGUAGCUCUUAGUCUUUGGUCAUAUAAUGAUACUUUUGAUCACUUUCCACUGGGUUUUCUGAUGCACUGAGCUGCAAACCUUAGGAGAUAAAACAUACUCCAAUAAUGUUGUUAUAGAUUAAAUCAAUGAUGGUUCCAUCUGAAUGAAGUGCAUGCCAGCACAAGUGAAAGAUCUGGUCAAGUUGGCAACGUUGUCAUGAAAAAUCACAUUAUUAUUCUUGCACAGGGACCAUGGAAUCAUUGCCAUCGUAGGCCCUCUCACUGGAUUUGUAAUGUCUUCUGUUAGGUCGAAAGAUAUGGGACCUCUCACUGGAUUUGUUAACUUCACCUGGAGGAGAGUUAGGUCGAAAGAUAUGGGACCUCUCAGAAAUCCUUUUUCGAGCUUUAGAUCUGUCAUGGGUAAUUUCUGGCUCCUGCUUUCCUCUGUGAGCAUUCUUGUUAUUGAUUAUCAUGACCUCUCCACUGAAAUAGUGCACCCUUUCUUGUUCUCAUCAUGGGAAAUGGCCAUCUUUUGGAAUGGACCAGCUACCAAUAUGCAUGUUAGGCAAUCUAGUCUUAUACUGCUUUUUUAAAUAUAUUUAUUAUAAUUUAAAUGAAGUAGCAUAAUCAUGAAGAUUAUGAACAAAAUUGUUAAUAUGACAAUCUAACGUAAACUGCAUAUCAAUCCUGACAACCAAAUUAUCAUUUUUUUCCUUUGGAUUUUUUUGCUUACUAAUUUAAAGUUCAAUAAAACACGAUUCACGUAUUCUUGAUUAGGACUUCAUGAAGAAGAGAAUUAUUUUGCCAAUUCUAUUAUUUUUAUGAGACAAAUGGCCUAAUUCUCAAGCAUCGAUAAUAAUUGCAUGGGGAGGAUGCCCGAACUAAAUUCACAUAAAUGAUGAUAUGUUGAGAGUUACUAAUUGUAUUCAGUCAUUUCAUAUUUACUUAUCUACAAAAUUCCUUAUUUGUAUGACAAUUUUGUCUUUGGUGCGUGCAGCCCUCCAUUUGCAGAACUUGUUCUACAGAUAACAAGGUUUUGUACACAUGAAAUGGAUAGAUUCCUAAGCUCCAGAUUGGCUUCAUGUGCUACGCUGCUGGUUGAUGAUUAGCUUCCCCAUUGAUGAAUACAUGGAUACAGGUGUAGGUCAGACACUGUUAUAAUCCCACAGCUUAGGUUGAUGUAACAUAGACCAACAUGAAUUUAUCCAACCCAACUCUUUAAUCUCUAAACAUGAACAAUCUUAUAUUUUCCCUACUCAUUUGGAUUACACAAGAAGUUCUUUUAGUCAUACAUGUGACGUCAAAUUUUCUUUUGUUGUGUCCUUAAAUCUCUUGUCUUCUUCUCUAUGGGAAUCUUCGAUCUGUGUGAACUUUUGAUGUCUUUAUUUGUGCUUCUUGACUCCACAUAUCUGAUCUUUAACCUUUUGUGUCUUCUAGUUGGCCUUUCCUGAUCCUUGACAUUGUUGCAGUUGCAGGACUUUUUUAUCUUAUUAAUAAUGCAGCAGUUAUUUCAGUUUACAAUCUCUGGACUCAGCUGAUACAAUUAAAAUAUUGUUUUUGGACUUCAAACUUCAAAGUGUGUGCUCUUUCCAAUAGCUCCAAUCUGUUUGUGUUCUAUUCUUUAUUCUAUUGCAACUUUUAUUUGAAAAAUGGAUAUUGGUCAGUGCUGUCAAUAUAAAGUCCAAAAAAAAAAGUGUCUGCAAAAGAGUGUCAAUGAAUGUGAUGUUAGGUUCAAACCAUUUUUUACUUUUUGUUUCAUAUCAUACAAUCUUAUGUCUCUGUACAAAAGCUAUAAACUUUCUUUAAAUCACUUGCUAAUUUCAUUUUCUUUUCUCUGGUACUGCUGCCUCAAUUGCUCUGAAAGCUCCAAUUUUUUGGUCAAAGGUACUGUUUCAUGCAAGGAUACUGUGACUUGUUGUAGUUGGUGGAAUUCAGUCUCAAGUUGCUGCUUAACUUAGAAGCUAAAUGAGGUCCUGAGACAAUAACUUGUCUGUAAAGUCUAGGUUAUGACCUGGUAUCAUUUUGUAGGGCAGAGGGGAGAAGAAGACAUCACACGAACCACAUGCAAGCUUUGAUCCCAACAACACCCAGAAAACCUGAGCCAUCUCCCUGCACAAGGAUUAUGCCAGUACAGAACCUACUGUAUUGAAUUCUAAGUUGCUUGAUCUCAAAGGGAUUCUCUCUGUCAGGUGUCUUCCACACACACAGCUUCAACCCUGCUGUCAUCAGCAGUAGCAGCUUGGAAGUGGAAGACUGCCAAUGACUUUUCCAUUAUCUCUAUUUGGCUUUCUCUUUUUUUCUCUCCCUUAUGUGCUCCAUAAAAUCAAAAAGUACACUUUGUGAAGUACUUCUUAAACAUAACCCUUAAAUUUCAUAAUAUAUUUAUUUAUGUUUCAUAGCAGUAUAAAUUGUUGUCAUCUGAUAUAAAUGAUUAUUAAAUGACACUGUUGAAUGCUGAUACCAAUCAAUGGCAGGGGUGGCAAAACUGCAAAUCUAGUCACAAUAUUUGAAACACAAAGUGAGAAAGGACGUUGGGAUGAUAACAUCCACCAUUCAACUUCGCACGUGCCGUCGCGUGCGUAAAGUCCACUGAGUUGUCCUUUGAGAUCCAGUCACCGGUUCCGGUGUCCCUACCGCCCUAAGUUUUUCUUAAUUAAUCGCACAAUGUUAAGGUCGUUAAUUCAUGAGCAGUGGUGCGGUAUGAAACGGUGCGGUGAUUCGAUCCUUGUCGAUAAAGGAAGAAAGAAUUGAGAGUUGCUUUCUCUCUGCUCUUCGUUUCUUCUUUCUAUCACUACUUCGUCUUCACUCCACAGCCCAUUCCCUCUCAAAAUAGCGGGAGGAGAAAUGGAUCGGAGUCCGCCGGUGAGGAAGUCGCACACCUCCACAGCUGAUCUGCUCACAUGGUCUGAAACGCCGCCACCGGCAGCUAUCGAUCAGGCUGUGUCGGCCUCCCGCCGGACUCUCAAGGUGAAUGCACGCCCCUCCCCGGCCCGAAAAUGCCUGCUUUAUUGUUCUGCUUUUUCUUCUUACCCGGCGGCUUGGGGUUUAUCCUCGUGUCUUCUCACAGCCGGCGGGAGGGAUUAGCCCGGUGAUGUUCGGGGCGCAGAUGUCGGCGGAGGAAGCGGAAAGCUUGAACAAGAGGUGAGAGAUCCGGUCUGGUGGCUAGGGUUUUGGCUGAUCCUAGUUUGCUUUCGAUGAGGCGACCAUUUAUUUACGAAAGAAAUGCCCACUUCCCUCUUUUGCUGUUGCUUUCUUGGAUGUGGUUAACCGGUCGAAGAGAUCUGCUUUUAGUUUGUCGGGUUCCCUGAUCUGUUCGCAAGAUUCGAUUUUUCUUGACGCCUAUUUACUAUAUUUAAGAAACGAGCUCUUAUUUGACACUACCAUAUUUCGUGCUAAUGAUCUGCUUGGUUUUUGAUCCACGGAUUCUCUUUUGUUUCUCCCCCUUCCCCUCUCCCUUUUUUUCCCUAUGAUUUAUUUCUUUUUGAACUCUUCUGAUGGAUCUAUAUUAGAUGUUAGUUUAAUUUUUUUUUUAGUGUAUGAAUGAUAGCUAUUGUGAAGUGGUAUAUUUCUUUGAGAGUUUAUGCAACGAUUUUUAUUUAGGCCAUACUUAUAUUUUAUCUAUUGAAAAUCCUAGUAUUGUCUCGUUGAUUACUAUCUUUCUGUUUGGAAAUGAGAUGCUAUAUGUCUGUAAUAUUACACAUCAAGACAAGUACAAGACCGUAGACUGUCUUUUUGAAAAGAAUUGCUACCAAUUGACAUUUUAAAAAGAAAUUCUCAGCAGAUAAAUGGUUUUAAAUACAACACAUCAGAGGUAUUUCAGAAUUGAUUCCUCGUAGGAACAAGCUCAAAACAACAAAAGCACUUGACAACUAAGAAAUUCUUUUCUAGUCUCUACUAUAGUUGUUGUUUGCCCACUAACAUGGUUAUUUUAUUUGUAAGAGCACACUAUCUAAUCUAAUGUAGUAAGCACCUUAAGUAAGAAAUGCAAAGUGUACCAUAACUCAACUAAACAUUGGAACCCCACUAUCCACAUAGCAGAAGUCAAGCUAAGUGGCUAACAGCACUUGUACCAGUUAAUCUUACAGCUAACAGCCUUAACACUAUCACAAUCUGCCUUGAUGGGAUGUUUGACUUUGUUGAGCUCAAAUCAUUAACUCAAAAUGCUUAGGCCAAAGUCAAUAAUAAUACAUCCAUCAGACCCUGGUAAGUCAUUCUAAAUCUUAGUCCAUUUCCAAUGUGGGGGCUAAAUCAAGGUGUUGUUAACACAGUGAACCAAGGGAUUAAAACUGCAGCCUCACAUAGAAACUGGUUUCGACUGUCCUGUUUUUGACUUCUGACCUGCAUUCUAGUAUUGAGAUGUAUCCCUUUGUCUUUCUUUUUUCUUGUCUUGUUCAGUUGUUUUCUUAAAAAACGGAAGUGUAAACAUUAAUGUAUCUUACCCUGCAAGUAUGGUAUUGCUAUGCUUUAGCAAGUAGGACGAGCGUUACAUUUCCUGAUAACACCAGCAAUAAAAUAUUUAAUUAAACUUCGGAUAUUGUUGUAAAUUUAUACCUGAAGAUGAUUUGGUUUUCAUUUUCAUUAUUUACCUUAUGUGAUUAUGUGAGCUAAAAACCCUCGUAUUUUCUAGGAAACCCUGUUCAAGCUCAAAACUGCGAGAAAUGACUGGCAGUGGUAUCUUUGCAGCAGAUAAUGAGAAUGCGAUAAUGGAAUCUGGUAAUGCUGUCUCAAAUCAUAAUACUAAGACAAGUGUUAGAAUUUGCCAGGUAACUUCUCUGACUUUGUUUGGAUCUAAUUUUUGAUUUUCAAUUUGCCAUUGAUAGUGACUUAUUGAUGCUUUUAUCCUUUUUUAAAAUUUGAUGGAAUGACAAUACAGUUUAUUUAACGAGAGCAAAAAUUAUAACCUAGAAACUAUACAGUUUGUUUUCCUUUGACAACUUUCUAGGCUAGAAGUUAUCAACUAUUUUGAAUGGUUCAAACAAAUUAUUAGUUCUAUAUUUAUGCCGUUGUACCUAAUUUUUGUCUUUUUUCUAGGCAUUGUUUAAUAAUGGUUUUGGUCAAUCUAAGCAUGCUCCUAUGAUGAGUUGACUUUGUAUAUGAUCCUCAAAUAUCUAGAAUAUGUUGUUGAUAUUAUUAUACUGGAACUAAAUUAAUUAAUUUAUAUGUUUUGCCAUCAGCAAGCUGUUAGUGCAAUUAGCCAAAUAUCAUUUAGUGCUGACGAGGCAGUUUCUCCAAAGAAGCCUACUUCGAUUGCUGAGGUAGCAAAGCAGCGAGAGCUAAGUGGUACCACUGAGAGUGAGCUUGAUGCCAAAGUCAAGAAGCAGCUCUCUGAAGCAAAGAGCAAAGAGCUUAGUGGGCAUGACAUCUUUGGUCCUCCUCCUGAAGUUCCGGCCAGGCCUUUAGCUGCAAGGAAUUUGGAACUAAGGGGGAAUUUGGAUUUCGUCUUGCCACAGCCUCGAAGCAUACAUACAUCAGUGAAAGUAUCUAAUGUGAGUUAGUUCAUCAGUCAAAUGUGGAUUCCUGGUUUCUGAACAAUUUGUUGUUAACAUCACUGUGUUAUAUAUUUUAUGUUUUCUUAGACAUAAAUUAGUUUAACUUUCAGUAUGCAUUUGCUUCACAUCAAUUUAUUCUGUUGCAUAUUAGAGGAAAACAUUGUAAUUACUCCAUGCACUCAUCGAGGCAUUCUUAAGUGACAGCCACCACGGACAAGAGGCCAUUCAUUAUUCUUGUGAUAACCCAUACAAGAAAGCAACUCAAUUAACUCCCUCCAAUCUUAUAAUACCUAAAGGCCUUUUGCAUUUUAGGAAUUUUGCUUAUAGGUAGUUUAACAUAUCACUUCUCUGCAGUAUGUUCUAUAGACAAUCAUUUUCAAAUUGCUAGCUUUUUCUGCUGAGAUUUAUAGACAAUCAUUUUCAAACUCUUAGUGUUUAUUAUCAUUGUUGACCAUUGGCUGCUUCUAAGUUGAACAUUUAUAUUUGGAUUAUAAACCUCUUAUUGAUUGCAUAGCUAACACUUUUCAUCAGAAACUCUUGCUUGUAUGAUUUUUUGUUGGUCAAGUAAAUUCAGUCUUUUUUCGAAGAUGAGAAAUUGAUUUAAAAAAAAUGUUCCUUUGAGAUCAGGUUGUUCAGUUGAAACUCAUAAUGUUAAUGGACUGAGCUAUAUGAUGGCUCUUUUAUGUUUUAAUUGUUGCUUACAUGGAGAAUCUACUUGUAUAUGCUUUUACUUUUAUUUUAUUUUAUAGCUAUCUUUAUCUGUUAAAUCGAAGUUAAUUGUGCUCAGAGAGGAAUAAAGAAGGAAUGAUAAAUCAUAUGAUACUGAAUGGUUCAUAUUAUUUAUCAUUCGGGUCAUCCUUUCAAUGCAUAUCUGUUAGAUUGCAAGAGACCAUAUAAUUUAUAUAACCAUACAUUUCUCCUGGCAUUUCCUUCGCCAAUGGUUCAUGUCCAGCAUUUGGUUUAAUAUUUUUGUAUUCUUAACUUAAAGUGCAUUCUUAACUUGAUGGUCGACUUUGUAGUAAACUAUCAUUUUAUGUCUUCCCUUUAAUUGCUAAUCGUCUUCCACUUUUUGUUUGGUGUUCUAGCCGGCUGGAGGUCCUAGCAAUAUCAUGUUCAGUGAUGAUAGUGUCGCCAAGACUGCAAAGAAGAUCCACACUCAGAAGUUCCAAGAGCUGACCGGCAACGACAUAUUCAAAGAAGACGCACCCCCAGGGUCUGCCGAGAAGCCACUGAGUGUGGCAAAACUGAAGGAGAUGAGCGGCAGCGACAUCUUUGCAGAUGGGAAAGCGGCAUCGCGAGACUACUUCGGCGGAGUCCGUAAGCCUCCCGGUGGUGAGAGCAGCAUUGCAUUGGUUUAACUAUCCUGACCACGUUGUCUGUGUAUUAUUGCAGUUUGUCUUCCUAAUCAACUUCCGAAACAUGUUUCUGUGGACUAAUUAUGUGCUGCGUGUGCUUGAUGUAUCUUAGACUGUUUGGCUUUGACAUUGUUCAUUGAGAGUGACGAGAGAUGAUGGAACCUUUGUCCGAUGUUCUCUUUUUGUAGUAUUCCCGUUGACUAUACUGCCUUGCCUCCAAUUGUCAUCUUUCCUUGGUCAUACUUCACGGCAUCUGUGGGAGAAUAUGAAUGAAACUGCAGUUUUCUUGGCAGAUAGAAACCAAAAUACUGCCUUCGCCAUUGAGUAUUAAGAAAUUACAACGAAGGUCGUGGGCCCCGCAGGCGCUUAUCUGGAUGAUUGCAGCGGAGCCCGCAGUGGGUCCCCCAGGGACGUGGCCGGGUAAGCCGGUCAGCGAUAGACAUGACGCGGACGAGACGUACCAUCACUAUCGCCCCCAAUGAACGGUCCUGAUCUGAUCAAGCUCGGUGAUAACAGAAAACCCCAACGGUCGCCCAACCGCGGUCCUGUACCGUACACACCAUAAAAGGCUUCUCUUGAGAACAUUUACGACUCUCCCCGUUCUCCAUCUCACACGACGCAGAGCUCCAAGAACUCCUACUUCCCUUCCAAGAACUCGACCUCUCCAAGAGGAAGACGAGAUGGUGGGCUACACCGAUCCCUGCCCCCACUGCGGCUACAAACGCCGGCGGCCCUCCUUGGACCGCCUGUUCACCUGGCCCAUGGACCGCUCCUCCAUCCCCGCCCCAGCCGCCAAGCUCGCCCGCACCAACUCCGGCUGCAUUGACCACUGCUCCCUCACCGCCGCCAACGAUCAGGCCUCUGAUACCGCCGCAGUGAAGCCGCCGAACCCCUCUCCGCCGACCAUCUCUUUCGGCGCCGGCAGGGUGCCCGAACCGAAUGAGAGCGACGCCGGAACUCCGUCGCCCCGGCAGCAGAGUCCGUUCGCUCCGUCCAUCUCCAUCGUCCCACCGACGGCAUCCGGACCCCUGGCGCCUCCGGAGGCGACCGCGCCGGACCUUCCUCGAAGUCCGGCGUGGGAACUCAAUUCUAACAACAAGAAGAAGGAGGAGGAGGUUUGAGGGCUUUCGCACUUCUCUUGCCUUCUCCACUUUCUUUUCUUUGGUCGUCUUGUCCGACAUUCGAUCUCGAUCGUUGGUUGUGACGCAGCUUUCUUGGUUACCUCGAUCUAGUGUAUUCUUUUGUUGUAUCAACUGCAUGUCUACCAUGGCAGGAGGGAGAUGAAGAGCAGAAGACCGAGCAGAAGCUGGAGGAGGAAAAGAAGAGGAGCAAGACCCGAAUACGUGUCUCAGGUGUGACUGGUGUGAAGAUUAGCUUCAAGUGCAAGUGCGGCACCUGUCAAGAACUGGUGGUCUCUUGAGACCACCAUUCCAUUUCUUUCCACCAGUGACAGUGGUGUGGCAUCUGCCAAGACUCAUUGUGGCAGAGAAGUUAUCAGGAAGAGAGAUGGAGAGACCAGCUUAAAUUAAACUGGUAAGGCUCAGGAGGAACUGCGAAGAGCAUAAAGUUGAUUGACAAGUGACACACUACAUGUUCUACUUUCUUUUUCUUUACUCCCUAUCAAAUUCUUGACUGCUACUUCAACCAUAAGCAUUCUUCAGAACUCACUUGUUCUGGUAAAUCCUUUUUUUUACUGAUAUGUUAGUCUUUGUUUGUGCUUUUUUGUUUGAUAUAAGAAUCAAAUUAGGUUUAGUUUUGGUGAUGCAUUUUUAUAAUAUGUGGCUUAAAGAGUGACCAUUUUGACUAAUCACCAAUUUAGGUUUAUUUGGCUUCACACCAAUUGCAGACUUUGGAGCAAAGACUUGUAAGGCUAAGUUAACUUUAGCUUACUGGUCUAUAAUAAUACAAGUAAUGGAGGUUUACAUAUUACUUGACCAAGUCUUGAUCUUUGGUGAUUGACUACUGAUGUUGCUGUUGGUUGUGGCAGUACUUUAGUUAUUGUUGUUUUGGUCUUACAUAAUUAAAGAUAUCCAUGGUUUACAUAUGUCAAGAAUAUUGAAGUUUCGGGUUGAAAUAUUCAAUCAAUUAUCAAAUUGGAAGAUGUUAUUGUCAUGUUUGUUAUAAGUUGAAGUCCCUAAAAGCAAACUAGAUUUCCAUGAUUGAUGUUUCCUUGCCUAUGAGAUGAUCUCCUUAGUAUAACAACGAGAGUUGCAUUUAAAAACCUUAUACGAUUAGUAAAUCAUAUUCACACCAUCACAACACAGAGAGAGAUAGAGAGAGAGAGAGAGAGAGAGAGAGAGAGAGAGAGAGAGAGAGAGAGAAAACCUUAUCAUUUGAGCUACUUUUGUUUGAAUGGUUGCUCUCAAACAUAUAGAGAGAAGGCAAGGAAAAGGAAGAGGACUCAUUCUUGAGAUCUUUCAUGUACGAGAUAGCAAUGAUUGCUAGACUUGUACUCCUUCCAAUUGGAUCAUCAAUUGCAUCGAAUGGUAGAUUACAUAAAACAUAAUGUCUCUUUCUGAUGUUGCCAUUCUGCUACGGCCUCAUAUAAAACUUCGUUGUUACGGUGACCAACUUUGUCGAGUAUGGCAGGCACUAUCUUAUUGGUGACAUAACGAGUGACAUAGGAAGCUUGCUGUGUUAUCCAACACAUCUUUUCGGUCCUUAAACCUCUCAUUAUCAUCACUACUAACUUGUUCUCUCAUACUUUGACAUGAAAGCCCAGUGGUUGAAGUCUUACCUGCCUGAGAUGUCAUGCUUUCUACUUCAUUAAAUCUUGAAGAUUGUGGGAGAUAAAAGUAAUGGGAACAAUGUUGUCAACAUGAGUAGCAUGGUCUUAGUUCUACAAGCAUGCUUGUUGUGUGUAUGGAGUCAUGAUAAACAGUGUGGUUUCCCAUUAGCUCCUCAAGCCUUUUGUGAUAUGGGUAGAAAUGCACUGCAAUUUCAUAAAUAUUCAGAACCGGAGUUCAUGUCUGUAGAAACAAAGAUAGAAACCAUGUUUGUUUGUACGUCUUUACAAGUGCUCAUGAAUCUCUAUGAUGUAUCAAUUCGGAUCGGAAACAAGUAAUGCAUGCAUGGUAGGACUUGUAACACGAGAACUGAUGGAAAUAAUAGAAGAUAAAGAAGAAUUAUUGAAGAUGGUGCUCCUAUCAAGGACACCAAUCUUGGAUCGAUGCAAGAGCAGAUCGGUACUGUUGUUGCUGCGGCUGCGAUGGUGAUGGUUGCGGCUGUGAUGGCAGCGAUUGCGAUUACGACGGUGGCGGCUGCGAUUGCGACGGCGACGGCUGCGACUUCGACGGCGACAGCUGCAACUACGACAGCGACAGCUGUGAUUGUGACGGCUAUGGCUGCAACGACAAAGGAGAAAUCUACAAUAAUGUUACAGUGAUGCUACUACAGAAGAGGAGGAAGCUGCAGAAGAGGAAGUUGCAACAGAGGAAGAAGCUGUAGCAGAAGAGGUAGGAGGUAGCUACAACGAGGAAGAAAGGUGGGGAAGUGCUGGUGAGCGCAGCACUAGAAACGCCGCAGCGGAAGAGAACAGACGUUGGCGCUGAGUGGCAGUAGAGAAGGCAGUUGCUGUUCGCCGAGAAAGAAAGAUCUACUAAACCAUGGAGAAGGUUUGCGUUACUUUGGGUGCAUGGAGAAGGUUUGUGACCUCACGUUGCUCACGUUGAGAGGCGCGCGUUUCCCGUUUACGUUGUUGCAGGUUUGGUGAUAGCUUAACUACCCAUGCAAAGAUCUAUCACCAACUCUCCCGUCUGAACAUUGCUGCUUGUAGGAUUCCAAGAGCCAAUGAUGUCGUUGACUCCAUACCUGUCUGUCACAUGACACACACCAUGUAUUUUAUUCACGUAGGCCAUUGUAGCAGAUGUAUAGAUAGAUAGAUAGAUAGAUAGAUAGAUAGAUCACAAUCAGAUUUUUAUGUAGCUUAGGGUAUUCUUCUACUAAAUCCUAUCCAUUCUCAUAGGCUAUCUAUCUUUGGUGGUGUCAUUGGGCUUCACAAGUGUAUAAAUAGAGGCAAGCCAUGUUUUGGUGACAAGGUGGAGGAAUUCUUGGGAGUCAGGUACAGUUUCUUCCAGGAGUCCAAUGGGGAGAUCACCAUGCUGUGAUGAGAACGGGCUUAAGAAGGGUCCCUGGACACCUGAGGAAGACCACAUGCUGGUCCAGUACAUCCAGAAGCAUGGCCAUGGCAGCUGGAGAGCCCUCCCUAGACUUGCUGGUUGGUACUCUCUCUCUCUCUCUGUCCAGUGCUGUUCUUCUCUCUCAUUUCGUACUUACAGACAUGUCACAGCCUUCUCUCUCAUUUCUCUCAGGGCUUAAUAGAUGCGGGAAGAGCUGCAGGCUGAGAUGGACCAACUACUUGAGGCCAGAUAUCAAGAGAGGCAAAUUCGCUCCAGAAGAAGAGCAAGCCAUCCUCAACCUCCACUCCAUCCUAGGCAACAAGUGCUCGUCUACUUAUCUCUCGCACUAACUCCGAUGAUCGAUCUGAGUUUGAUCUAAUCGAGCGUGGUCGACCUUUUGUCCAUUUAGGUGGUCUGCGAUCGCGGCGCACCUCCCCGGGCGUACCGACAACGAGAUCAAGAACUUUUGGAACACCCACCUCAAGAAGAAGCUGAUCCAAAUGGGAUUCGACCCCGUGACUCACCGCCCGAGGACCGACUUCUUCGAUGCCCUCCCCCAGCUCUUCGCUCUCGCCCAGCUUGGCGAGCUCGUCGACGGCCAGCCACGGGACGACCUUGCCGCACUGCUCCAAGCGGAGGCACUCGACCAGGCUGCAAAGCUCCAGUUCCUGCAGUCCCUGCUGCAGUCGGCCUGCACCAUGCCAAAUACCUCAAACACCACCAUUUCCACCAACACCCUCCUUAGCACUCGGAUGACUUCAUCUUUUCCUUCCAUCCUCUCUCCCACACCUCCUCAAAAUAUCAUCGAUAGCCAUAACCAAAUUGACCAAUUGCCGUCCUCCUUCUUCGAGCCACCCACACCCAAUGAGACCACCCAAUACUCCCACUCAACUGGUUUCGGCGAAUCUCCUCUUCCUCCUCUCACCGAUAUCUCGGUUGCCAACCAGGGGAACGCUUGCAGCAGUAGUAGUAUCUCUAGCUGUGGUGGGACUGAGACUCUCUUCUUCUGGCCUGAUGUGUUGCUGGACGACCAAUUCAUGACUGAAUCUGCCGAAAUCUUUUAAGCAGAGGAUACCUUCGCCUAUAGAUUCUGCUUUCCGCAGUCAUGGGAAGUGUGGUUCUUGAUUGCAAAUAAGAUUUCAGGAAAUCUCUCUACUCACUCUCUACUCAGUUGAGGGAAAUCCUCUAUUGUGUUGAGAAAAAUCAUCCCUCGUAAUCUGUAUAAACAGUAGAGGGAUAUGUUAAUGCAUUCAAGCUACUUCACUUCCUCAAUAAUGCUUCUUCAAUAAAGCUUAUUCAAUAAUUCUUCUUAUCUUCUAAUAUUUCCAUCUUCUUAUCUUCAAUAAAGCUCUCUUCUUGCUGUCGCCUCAUCAUUGUAGUAGCAUCACUGCAACAUUGUUGCUUCUCCACCUCCGACGGCAAAAGAAAAAGCUUGAACAAUGACUCCCAAGAGUUCCUCCACCUUGUCACCAAAACAUGGCUUGCCUCUAUUUGUACACUUGUGAAGCCCAAUGACACCACUAAAGAUAGAUAGUCUAUGAGAAUGGAUAGGAUUUAGUAGAAGAAUACCCUAAGCUACAUAAAAAUCUGAUUGUGAUCUAUCUAUCUAUCUAUCUAUCUAUACAUAUGCUAAAUGGCCUACGUGAAUAAAAUACAUGGUGUCAGUGUCAUGUGACAGACAGGUAUGGAGUCAACGACAUCAUUGGCUCUUGGAAUCCUACAAGCAGCAAUGUUCAGACGGGAGAGUUGGUGAUAGAUCUUUGCAUGGGUAGUUAAGCUAUCACCAAACCUGCAACUCUCAACGUGAGGUCACAAACCUUCUCCAUGCACCCAAAGUAACGCAAACCUUCUCCAUGUAUUUUAUUCANNNNNNNNNNNNNNNNNNNNNNNNNNNNNNNNNNNNNNNNNNNNNNNNNNNNNNNNNNNNNNNNNNNNNNNNNNNNNNNNNNNNNNNNNNNNNNNNNNNNNNNNNNNNNNNNNNNNNNNNNNNNNNNNNNNNNNNNNNNNNNNNNNNNNNNNNNNNNNNNNNNNNNNNNNNNNNNNNNNNNNNNNNNNNNNNNNNNNNNNNNNNNNNNNNNNNNNNNNNNNNNNNNNNNNNNNNNNNNNNNNNNNNNNNNNNNNNNNNNNNNNNNNNNNNNNNNNNNNNNNNNNNNNNNNNNNNNNNNNNNNNNNNNNNNNNNNNNNNNNNNNNNNNNNNNNNNNNNNNNNNNNNNNNNNNNNNNNNNNNNNNNNNNNNNNNNNNNNNNNNNNNNNNNNNNNNNNNNNNNNNNNNNNNNNNNNNNNNNNNNNNNNNNNNNNNNNNNNNNNNNNNNNNNNNNNNNNNNNNNNNNNNNNNNNNNNNNNNNNNNNNNNNNNNNNNNNNNNNNNNNNNNNNNNNNNNNNNNNNNNNNNNNNNNNNNNNNNNNNNNNNNNNNNNNNNNNNNNNNNNNNNNNNNNNNNNNNNNNNNNNNNNNNNNNNNNNNNNNNNNNNNNNNNNNNNNNNNNNNNNNNNNNNNNNNNNNNNNNNNNNNNNNNNNNNNNNNNNNNNNNNNNNNNNNNNNNNNNNNNNNNNNNNNNNNNNNNNNNNNNNNNNNNNNNNNNNNNNNNNNNNNNNNNNNNNNNNNNNNNNNNNNNNNNNNNNNNNNNNNNNNNNNNNNNNNNNNNNNNNNNNNNNNNNNNNNNNNNNNNNNNNNNNNNNNNNNNNNNNNNNNNNNNNNNNNNNNNNNNNNNNNNNNNNNNNNNNNNNNNNNNNNNNNNNNNNNNNNNNNNNNNNNNNNNNNNNNNNNNNNNNNNNNNNNNNNNNNNNNNNNNNNNNNNNNNNNNNNNNNNNNNNNNNNNNNNNNNNNNNNNNNNNNNNNNNNNNNNNNNNNNNNNNNNNNNNNNNNNNNNNNNNNNNNNNNNNNNNNNNNNNNNNNNNNNNNNNNNNNNNNNNNNNNNNNNNNNNNNNNNNNNNNNNNNNNNNNNNNNNNNNNNNNNNNNNNNNNNNNNNNNNNNNNNNNNNNNNNNNNNNNNNNNNNNNNNNNNNNNNNNNNNNNNNNNNNNNNNNNNNNNNNNNNNNNNNNNNNNNNNNNNNNNNNNNNNNNNNNNNNNNNNNNNNNNNNNNNNNNNNNNNNNNNNNNNNNNNNNNNNNNNNNNNNNNNNNNNNNNNNNNNNNNNNNNNNNNNNNNNNNNNNNNNNNNNNNNNNNNNNNNNNNNNNNNNNNNNNNNNNNNNNNNNNNNNNNNNNNNNNNNNNNNNNNNNNNNNNNNNNNNNNNNNNNNNNNNNNNNNNNNNNNNNNNNNNNNNNNNNNNNNNNNNNNNNNNNNNNNNNNNNNNNNNNNNNNNNNNNNNNNNNNNNNNNNNNNNNNNNNNNNNNNNNNNNNNNNNNNNNNNNNNNNNNNNNNNNNNNNNNNNNNNNNNNNNNNNNNNNNNNNNNNNNNNNNNNNNNNNNNNNNNNNNNNNNNNNNNNNNNNNNNNNNNNNNNNNNNNNNNNNNNNNNNNNNNNNNNNNNNNNNNNNNNNNNNNNNNNNNNNNNNNNNNNNNNNNNNNNNNNNNNNNNNNNNNNNNNNNNNNNNNNNNNNNNNNNNNNNNNNNNNNNNNNNNNNNNNNNNNNNNNNNNNNNNNNNNNNNNNNNNNNNNNNNNNNNNNNNNNNNNNNNNNNNNNNNNNNNNNNNNNNNNNNNNNNNNNNNNNNNNNNNNNNNNNNNNNNNNNNNNNNNNNNNNNNNNNNNNNNNNNNNNNNNNNNNNNNNNNNNNNNNNNNNNNNNNNNNNNNNNNNNNNNNNNNNNNNNNNNNNNNNNNNNNNNNNNNNNNNNNNNNNNNNNNNNNNNNNNNNNNNNNNNNNNNNNNNNNNNNNNNNNNNNNNNNNNNNNNNNNNNNNNNNNNNNNNNNNNNNNNNNNNNNNNNNNNNNNNNNNNNNNNNNNNNNNNNNNNNNNNNNNNNNNNNNNNNNNNNNNNNNNNNNNNNNNNNNNNNNNNNNNNNNNNNNNNNNNNNNNNNNNNNNNNNNNNNNNNNNNNNNNNNNNNNNNNNNNNNNNNNNNNNNNNNNNNNNNNNNNNNNNNNNNNNNNNNNNNNNNNNNNNNNNNNNNNNNNNNNNNNNNNNNNNNNNNNNNNNNNNNNNNNNNNNNNNNNNNNNNNNNNNNNNNNNNNNNNNNNNNNNNNNNNNNNNNNNNNNNNNNNNNNNNNNNNNNNNNNNNNNNNNNNNNNNNNNNNNNNNNNNNNNNNNNNNNNNNNNNNNNNNNNNNNNNNNNNNNNNNNNNNNNNNNNNNNNNNNNNNNNAUAUAUGGGAGAAAAAGUAGUUAGUUCAUCUGUCUGCAAGUCUGUCUAAAACUAAGGCUUUGUUUGUUUGAACAGAGAAAGAAAGAUCUACUAAACCAUGAAGAAGAAAAGUCACAGAAUGGUGGUGGCAGCUUCACUGAUUUGAGUGAAUGCAAGAUGACAGGAGAAGGGAAACAAAGGUCAUUUUCUCCUUUACUUGCAUCAUUUGGUGUCGGCAACAAGUCAUCAAGCUAGCUAGGGUUUGCAGUGUGUCUUGUGCAUGCCAUGAAGGUUGCUUCCUGAAGAAGCUUCUUUUGUCUGAUGCUGCCACUGUUACAGAAAAACAUAAAGGAAAAUAAGAUGAUAGUGGAAAUAUUCAUCUAAUUGAUCUCAACAAAAAAAAUGACUGGUUUUUUUUUUUUAAUGUAGAUAUGAACAACAUGAUCGAGUAUCAAAAGAAUUUAGUCCGAAAUACUAAACAAAAGUAUAUCAUUUUUUUUUAUUUUUCAAGAAGUGUAUUUCUUAUUCGGAUCUUCGUUGAUAAUAGUAUUAUCGGAGUAGAUACACGACUCGCUUUAAAUACGAGAAGUAACCAAUUAUGAUACUAGCAAUAGUGCCCCCACAAAAUAUAAUGCUGCUUUCAUCAAAUCUUUACAGUUUCAAACAAAGAAACAGGCUGACCUUUAGUAACUUAGUGGUUGAGACUCUGCCUAUUAGAGCCAAGUUAUCAAAUGGUUGACCUAUUAAUUAUGACAUAAACAUUGGGGUUUCAACACUUGCUCUAAAUUCUCUUGACUUUUAACAAAGAAGCAGACCUCUUAAUAGUUCAAGACACAAUUCCCAAGACAUAAAUAGGAAAAGAAAAGAAAAACACUGCAAUCUCAGAUGACACAUCAAGAAAGUUUUCCUAAAUUAAUGUUAUUAGAUUGUUUGGGGAAGGAGGAUAAUCUAUGACAUAAGAACCACACACAAUUAGGAAUAAAGAACCCUUUCCCUUCUCUCAGGUUUCCCAACUGAUAUGCCCAACUCUCUGGGAAUUCCUAUCUGCUAUGCUUGAUUAUGAAGUUGGUGUCAUGUCUAGAGAGGAGCAUUUGCAAGAUCUGCAAGCUACCUAACCUCUUUAUUUUUAUUAUAUCAAGCAGUAGUGCUUCUUUCUUUAGUGCCCAACUUAUGGCUUUGUUUCCUUUGAAAUCAAAGAAAAGAAACCAUUUUUAAUAUCGCACACACAUGUUUAGCAUGUUAAUAAGUUUUGCCAUCUCAUGCCAACUAAGAUUGACAAUUCGAACUGUUGAAUAGAUCGGUUAGAUUAAAUCUAAUUUGUGUGACUAAGAAAUCAGACCGAUCUAACCAUUCUCACAAUUGGUCUAGAAAGUCAAUUAAUAUAUUAAUAUACAAUUGGGUCGUAGUCAAUCAUCAUCAUCCAGCAUCUAAUAAUAAUUAUUAUUAAUUAUAUAUAUUUGGAUGAUACUACUUUGAAUGAAUGAUAGGGGUUUGAGUCGGAAUCAAUUAAUUUCACAUGUCCUCGGCAAAUCAUUCAACGUACUGUUGGAAUUAUGGCUAAUGGGCCUUCUUACUUGAUUGCCUAAUGGGCCUUCUUUUAGGCCCGAUAUAAUAAUUUCACUAAGUCGAUCUCAUCUCUUGGAGAGCCGCAAAAGCUAUAGAAUCCGUCGGGGGCAUGCCACCGGAGGACAAACUGACGACCUCUACACUGGAACUCCCGGAAGUCGACUCGUUGACCUCGGGAGGGGACCGACUUGAGAAAGAUGAAGAAGACCAAGACAUCCCGACCUCGAAGUCGAUGACCGAAAGGGAUAGUCCGAGGUGUAAAACAGGAAUGCAGAGGCUGAGUGAUACCCCACCAUCACAUAGAAAGGGGUUUAUAAGGAGGAAGCCCAUCGCGACAAGGUGACGUUUGGCCUCCCCUAGGUAAGAAAUAGUGGCGGCAUUUAAUGAUAGCAUAUCCUACUAGAUUUGCCAAUCUCCAUCGCCCGAAAACUCCUGCCAAAACCCAUGAUGCAUCGUCAAUGGUUUCCCACCAAAAGCUACGAUGCGUCGUCUAUGGUUUCCUACCCAAUUUCAACCCUCGUCACCCGAAAGGGGCACCUCGGUUAAAUUUAGCGUCUCGACGAAUCAGUUCAACCUAUGCCCAAGUUGGGUACUUCGGUCAGUAGGUCUAGUCCUUGCCCGAGUCAUGCAUCUCGGCCAAUCAUCGCUUGAGCAACAUCUCGAUGAACCAGUCUAGCUUGUGCCCGAGUUGGGUACCUCGGUCAGCAGGUCCAGUCCUUACUCGAGUAGUGCAUCUCGGCUAUCAUCGCUCGAGUAGCAUCUCAACAAACCAGUCCAACCUAUGCCCAAGUUGGGUAACUCGGUCAGUAAGUCUAGUCCCUGCCCGAGUUGUGCAUCUCGGCCAAUCAUCACUCGAGCAGCGUCUCAAUGAACCAGUUCAACCCGUGCCCGAGUUGGGUACGUAAGUCAGCAGGUCUAGUCCUUGCCUGAGUUGUGCAUCUCAGCCAAUCAUCGCUUGAGCAGCGGCUCGACAAACCAGUCCAGCUUGUGCCCGAGUUGGGUACCUUGGUCAACAAGUCCAAUCCCUACCCGAGUUGUGUACCUCGGCCAAUCAUCACCCAAGCAGCAUUUCGGCGAACCUCCUCACCAAUCUCAAUGUAAUGAAUGACCCAAUCGACAGAAGGGACCAAGCCAUGCCCCGAGCUCACACCCCCCCCCCCCAACCCCCAUGAGGACCUCGAAGCAUGGUAGAGAAUGAUAGGACAUAUUUUGGCAUCGAGACUGAGAUUAGCUACCAUGAUAGCACAAAUAUGAAGCUUCGAGACUGAGAUAGAGCAUCGUGUCGGAUGCCCCACCUUAGAUUCGGGAGAACAAUAACCCCUUCCCGUGCCAUCUGAAAUUAUAUGAGGCAAUCACUCCGAAAAGCCAGGAACAACGCCACCUUCCCCUGUCAUCCAAAGUUGUACAAGGCAACACUGUGUGGAAUGGAGCCGCUCUGGGAAGCUCGGAGCAGUGCUUCGCGGUGCCAUUCCACACAGGGUAACCGGCGCUCGCACACUAGUACAAGCCGACCGCCCAAAGAGUUGGUUGCCAUCAUCAAAUCAAGUACGAUCGACCCUCGCUUAAUGGUAUAAAGUCUACUGAUCCUCAUCAAGUAGAGGAGGAUAGAUUCUAAGAACUCCAUUCAACACUAACUUAAACUUCGAAUGAUAGAGUCGGAAAAUCUCCCUCCUGCCCUUGACUUAUAUGUAAGAACUCGACAACGAAACAGCAGCAACCCGACCCGACGUCGAAGUGACCCGAGCAUCCGUGUGGACAAUUCUGACACCUCGAUCACGACGUAAUGGUUCACUGACAAAUAAUAUUCUCAGUGCAUUGCAUGGAGAGAUCAGCUGUGAUCAUUUCUGAUGUGCAUCAUUAGGUAAGAUGUUACCGUAUAUGAAGAGAGGGAAAGGUCAACAAGGAUGCAUAUGCAUGCAUCUUGCAUCCCUUUCAUUCAACACCCGACAUUGAAUGGCAAACACUGUUCACUUUGGCCAAUCUUCUGCUGCAUGCACUGAGAAUGAUUUAGUGAGGGUGUCUUCAGGAUUUGUAACUCUGCACCUACGAUUCUACGUUAAAUCAAAUUCAUCCCACAUGGAAACCACCAUCAGAUCAUUCUCCCUAUUACAAGCCCUUCAAUUGACCUUCUUGGUAACCCAAGAACAAGCCUGGACCUUUCCUUGGUUCUACUUCGGCUCCGUAACUAUCUUUUUUCCUCUCCUAUCGCUUGACUAAGAUCGAUCUAAUGUGUACUGUUUCCAUGUCUGGGACAGGAGGAGGAAGGAAGAUGAAGCGACACCUAACAGUGGAAGUUGGCCUCCAGAACGAAGAAGGAGAUGGUGGGUUGCAGAAGCUCACGAUGCCUGUAACUUAUAUUAAUCAUCCAUACUUUGCUGGUCUUCUCGACAGGGCCAAGAAGGUCUACGGCUACCGCUCCGGUGCCCCAGUUCCACUGAAGCUUCCUUGCACGGUGGAGGAGUUCAUCCAUGUCAAGUCGCUCGUCGAGCGCGAGUCCAGUGGCAGUCAGUAGUCCUUCUCCUUGUCUCCUUGCCUUGGACAUAAAAAUGGGCAUAUGUUAGCUGGAAUCAUCAUUUCCAUAGCUCAGAUGCAGUCAUGAGGUCUGCCAGUAUGUGUGAGCUGGAUGCAUCAGUUCUGCUACAUCUGUGAUCUCCCCAUUGGACUCCUGGAAGAAACUGUACCUGACUCCCAAGAAUUCCUCCACCUUGUCACCAAAACAUGGCUUGCCUCUAUUUAUACAAUUGUGAAGCCCAAUGACACCACCAAAGAUAGAUAGUCUAUGAGAAUGGAUAGGAUUUAGUAGAAGAAUACCCUAAGCUACAUAAAAAUCUGAUUGUGAUCUAUCUAUCUAUCUAUCUAUCUAUCUAUCUAUCUAUACAUCUGCUACAAUGGCCUACGUGAAUAAAACACAUGGUGUGUGCCAUGUGACAGACAGGUAUGGAGUCAACGACAUCAUUGGCUCUUGGAAUCCUACAAGCAGCAAUGUUCAGACGGGAGCGUUGGUGGUAGAUCUUUGCAUGGGUAGUUAAGCUAUCACCAAACCUGCAACAAUGUAAACGGGAAACGCGCGCCUCUCAACGUGAGGUCACAAACCUUCUCCAUGCACCCAAAGUAACGCAAACCUUCUCCAUGUAUUUUAUUCAUANNNNNNNNNNNNNNNNNNNNCUAGAUAGAUAGAUAUAUGGGAGAAAAAGUAGUUAGUUCAUCUGUCUGCAAGUCUGUCUAAAACUAAGGCUUUGUUUGUUUGAACAGAGAAAGAAAGAUCUACUAAACCAUGGAGAAGGUUUGCGUUACUUUGGGUUCAUGGAGAAGGUUUGUGACCUCACGUUGAGAGGCGCGCGUUUCCCGUUUACAUUGUUGCAGGUUUGGUGAAACAUUGGGGUUUCAACACUUGCUCUAAAUUCUCUUGACUUUUCUGAUCACAAGAUCGAGAAGGAAACAAAGAAGCAGACCUCUUAAUAGUUCAAGAUACAAUUGCCAAGAUAUAAAUAGGAAAAGAAAAGAAAACACUGCAAUCUCAGAUGACACAUCAAGAAAGUUUUCCUAAAUUAAUGUUACUAGAUUGUUUGGGGAAGGAGGAUAAUCUAUGACAUAAGAACCACACACAAUUAGGAAUAAAGAACCUUUUCCCUUCUCUCAGGUUUCCCAACUGAUAUGCCCAACUCUCUGGGAAUUCCUAUCUGCUAUGCUUGAUUAUGAAGUUGAUGUCAUGUCUAGAGAGGAGCAUUUGCAUGACCUGCAAGCUACCUAACCUUUUUAUUUUUAUUAUAUCAAGCAGUAGUGCUUCUUUCUUUAGUGCCCAACUCCUGGCUUUUGUUUCCUUUGAAAUUAAAGAAAAAGAAAACCAUUUUUAAUAGUACGCACACAUGUUUUGCAUGUUCAUAAGUUUUGCCAUCUCAUGCCAACUAAGAUUGACAAUUAGAACUGUUGAAUAGAUCGGUUAGACUAAAUCUAAUUUGUGUGACUAAGAAAUCAGACCGAUCUAAUCAUUCUCACAAUCGGUCUAGAAAGUCAAUUAAUAUAUUAUUAUACAAUUGGGUCGUAGUCAAUCCUCAUCAUCCAGCAUCUAAUAAUAAUUAUUAUUUGUUUUAUAUAUUUGGAUGAUAUUACUUUGAAUGAAUGAUUGGGGUUUGAGUCGGUAUCAAUUCAUUUCACAUGUCCUCGGCAAAUCAUUCAACGUACUGAUGGAAUUAUGGCUGGGCCGUCUUACUUGAUGGCCUAAUGGGCCUUCUUUUAGGCUUGAUAUUACCAUUUCACUAAGUCAUGCUACGACCUCGAGAGUCGCAAAAACCUUCGAAUCCAUCGGGGCAUGCCACGUGAGGACGAACUGACGACUUCUACCCUAGAACUCUCGGAGGUCGACUCGUUGACCUCAAGAGGGGACCGGUUUGAGGAAGAUGAAGAAGACCAAGACAUCACGACCUUAAGUUCGAUGACCAAAAGGGAUAGUCCGAGGUGUAAAACAGGAAUGCAGAGGCUGAGUGAUACCCCAUCGUCACAUAGAAAGGGGUUUAUAAGGAGGAAGCCCAUCACCACAAGGUGACGUUUGGCCUCCCCUAGGUAAGAAAUAGUGGCGGCAUUUAAUGAUAGCAUAUCCUACUAUAUUUGCCAACCUCUAUCGCCCGAAAACUCUCGCCAAAACCCAUGAUGCAUCGUCAAAGGUUUCCCACCAAAGGCUACGAUGCGUCAUCUUUGGUUAAAUUAGCGAGCAGCAUCUCGAUGAACUAGUCUAGCUUGUGCCCAAGUUGGGUACCUCGGUUAGCAGAUCCAGUCCUUACUUGAGUCGUGCAUCUCGGCCAUCAUCGCUCAAGCAGCAUCUCAACGAACCAAUUCAGCCUAUGCCCAAGUUGGGUAACUUGGUCAGUAAGUCUAGUCCCUGCCCGAGUUGUGCAUCUCGGCCAAUCAUCGCUCGAGCAGCGUCUCAAUAAACCAGUUCAACCUAUGCCCAAGUUGGGUACAUAGGUCAGUAGGACCAGUCCUUUCCCGAGUCGUGCAUCUCGGCCAAUCAUUGCUUGAGCAACGGCUCGACAAACCAGUCCAACCUGUGCCCAAGUUGGGUACCUUGGUCAACAAGUCCAAUCCCUACCUGAGUUGUGUACCUCGGCCAAUCAUCACUCAAGCAGCAUUUCGACGAACCUCCUCCCCAAUCUCAACGCAAUGAAUGACCCAAUUGACAGAAGGGACCGGGGUAGAGAGAAUGAUAGGAUAUAUUCUGGCAUCAUCACAUGGACGCGGUUAGCUACCAUGAUAGCACAAAUAUGAAGCUUCGAGACUGAGAUAGAGCAUCGUGUCAGAUGCCCCACCUUAGAUUCAGGAGAACAGCGACCCCUUCUCGCGCCAUCUGAAAUUAUACAAGGCAAUCACUCCGAAAAGCCAGGAGUGAUGCCGCCUUCCCCUGUCAUCCGAAGUUGUACAAGGCAACACUAUGUGGAAUGGAGCUGCUCUGGGAAGCUUGGAGCAGCGCUUUGCGGUGCCAUUCCGUACAGGGUAACCGGUGCUCGCGCACUGGUACAAGUCGACCGCCUAAAGAGCUGGUCGCCAUCAUCCGAUCAAGUACGGUCAACCCCCGCUUGAUGGUAUAAAGUCUACUAAUCCUCAUCAAGUAAAAAACGAUAGAUUCUAAGAACUCCAUUCAACACUAACUUAAACUUCGGAUGGUCGAGUCGGAAAAUCUCCCUCUCGCCCUUGACCUAUAUGUAGGAACUCGACAACGAAACAACAGUAACCCGACCCGACGUCGAAGUGACCUGAGCAUCCGUGUGGACAUUUCUGACAUCUCGAUCAUGACGUAAACGUUCACCAACAAAUAAUAUUUUCAGUGUAUUGCAUGGAGAGAUCAGCUGUGAUCAUUUCUGAUGUGCUUCAUUAGGUAAGAUGUUACCCUAUAUGAAGAGAGGGAAAGGUCAACAAGGAUGCAUAUGCAUGCAUCUUGCAUCCCUUUCGUUCAACACCCGACAUUGAAUGGCAAACACUGUUCACUUUGGCCAAUCUUCUGCUGCAUGCACUGAGAAUGAUUUAGUGAGGGUGUCUUCAGGAUUUGUAACUCUGCACCUACGAUUCUACGUUAAAUCAAAUUCAUCCCACAUGGAAACCACCAUCAGAUCAUUCUCCCUAUUACAAGCCCUUCAAUUGACCUUCUUGGGAACCCAAGAACAAGCCUGGACCUUUCCUUGGUUCUACUUCGGCUCCGGAACUAUCUUUUUUCCUCUCCUAUCGCUUGACUAAGAUCGAUCUAAUGUGUACUGUUUCCAUGUCUGGGACAGGAGGAGGAACGAAGAUGAAGGGACACCUAACAGUGGAAGUUGGCCUCCAGAACGAAGAAGGAGAUGGUGGGUUGCAGAAGCUCACGAUGCCUGUAACUUAUAUUAAUCAUCCAUACUUUGCUGGUCUUCUCGACAGGGCCAAGAAGGUCUACGGCUACCGCUCCGGUGCCCCAGUUCCACUGAAGCUUCCUUGCACGGUGGAGGAGUUCAUCCAUUUCAAGUCGCUCGUCGAGCGCGAGUCCAGUGGCAGUCAGUAGUCCUUCUCCUUGUCUCCUUGCCUUGGACAUAAAAAUGGGCAUAUGUUAGCUGGAAUCAUCAUUUCCAUAGCUCAGAUGCAUCCAUGAGGUCUGCCAGUAUGUGUGAGCUGGAUGCAUCAGUUCUGCUACAGAUGCCAAACACGCAUGAGAACUGUAAGAAAGAGCAGUACUCGAUCAGAUAUCAGAAAGGCUGUGUUAUAUUUCAAAUAGAUGCAGUAAUCUUCCUGUACUUUGUUGAUCUCUUCAAGUUUGUCUUCGAUGCUUGUUUAAGAACAGAGAAGAUCAGUCCCUCAAAAUCAAUGACAGGGAGGCUAUGAAAUAUUUGGUUAGUCCAGAAGAUUUUAGUAGGCCAGUUGAAGUGUAGAAGGCCAUCGAUGACAAGUAUUGGCCAUGAAACAAAGACAAAUGAUUUGCGACCUUGUCAAAAGCUUGAUGUGGGGAGUGGAAGUCUCUCUCACAGCCAGCUUGGUUUAGGCUUUAAUGAAACUUGACUGAUGCAAAACCUAAAUUAAUAUUUAGGUUUGGUUUAGGCGUGACGUAUCAACAAACCCGAGUGUUAGCGAACCCUUAACACUGUGGCCGAGGGGUCGUCACGGUUUAGUCGGGCUCCGAAUGCGUAAGGUUUCCUGAGCAUAUAAUGUGGUGGAAGCGAAUGUCGGGUCGGGUUAAGCUGGAGACUCACCUUCCGAGUGUGAUCUUUUCUCUUGAUGAGAGGUUUGCUGCAUACUCACCAGAUUCCUGCACACAGGUUGUGUUCGGGAGAGAGAUUUCUCGACCCAACCUCUACGAAGCUUAAAUUAGUGUUGGUGUUGAUCCCCCUUCCUGGUGUUGGCUAGGUGGUGGAUUUUUGCACACGGGGUCGGUUAUACUUGGUUCAUUAAUGACCACUGACCCUUAAGCGGCCAUCCCAUAUUUUUCGUGCGGACAUCGGUCGACCUGCACGAAUCGGUGCUGAGUGGCAUCAUCUUGAGCUUUCCGGGGCGGCUUCAUACCAGAUGGUACCGUUCUGAGCUUUCUGGGCCAGCUUCGUAUCAGAUGGUACUGUUCCAAGCUUUCUGAGGCAGUUUCGUAUCAAAUGGCAUUGUCCCGAGCUUUACGAAGCAACACCGUACCAUGCGACGUACCUUGCGUGACCUUGUAUAAGGUGGGAGGAUAGCUUGUUAAUAACCGCAGACCCCUUAAAUGACCGAGCCAUAUCUUCCAUGCGGACGCCAAUCGACCUGAAUGAAUCGGUGUCGAGCGACGCCAUUCCAAGCUUUUCGAGGCAGCUUCAUACUAGAUGACACCGUCCCAAACUUUCCAGAAACAACUCCGUACCGUGCAACAUACCUUACACGGCCUUUAUACAACACGAGAUGGUGGUCAUGUCAUCUAAAUCCGAGUCGCAUCGACGUGGUUCGCCACAUCGACUUUGAAGCUCUAUGUCGGUAAUAGUUUAGAGUUUGUAUUUUUAUUUUCAUAAUUAUAUUUGAAAUAAAUAUUAAUAUAUAAUAUUUUUAAAUAAACAUAAAAUAUAAAUAUUAUAAAGAAUUAAAUGAAUAAAAGUAAAAUAAUAUUAGAUUAAUCCAUAAUAAAGAAACUCAAAUAGACAAGAUCUUUUGAGUCAUAGAUUUUAUUUUAACUCCAAACGAUCUGAUUAGUGAACUAAACCGGUUGGAAUUUUAGUUCGUGAUUUCUGUGAUCAGACCAAUCGAUCCGUUCAAGUUUCAUAACAAUAGUCUAAAUAAACCUAUACAUAUGAUUUAGAUGCCAUGUAGAUUAUAGAAUAUGUGAUUUGUGUGAUGAUAUUAUACAUUUGAACUUAGUUUGAUGUAUUAUUUCAACUCAUGUUUACUUUUUAUUGGUUUGAGUAUGGAUUGUGAAUGGAUAUCUAAUUACUAAUUCUAUUUCUUUUUGUAUUGGAUGGUUUCAUGAGUUAUUAUUUUUUUACAAAUCCCAUUACAAAAUCGAGUCGACGCGUGCGUUGGAGUUCGAACACCGUCGCCCUUCAAACAUAUCCCGUUGUGCCUCGUCGUCCUCCUCCUCCUCCUCCUCCUCCUCUUUCCUCCCCCCUCUCGUUCCACUUUCUAGGGCUUUCCCUGGGGGAAAUCGUUUGAUUUAAUCCGCAUCUCCCCCUCGAUUCUGUCGCGGAAUCUCCUACUCCUGCUCCAGUGACAUGAUGCGAUAUUGCGACCUUUCAUGAAGCAGCAGCAGGUUCUUGGAUCGAUCCCGCGCGCCGCUGCCGGUAACUCUCGUCUCCAUGGCGCCGCCGCAGAGGAUCUCGAUCGUCCGCGACGAGGAGACCGCCGCCGACGACACGCCAACGGCCAAGAAGACGCUCAGGGCCGAGUCCAGAGUCCCGCUCACCAGGUGGGAGGCGGCUGCCGCGGCCGCUGUGUUCUUGAUCUUCGCCGUUGGACUGUUCUGUAUCUUGUUCACCAUGCCCGAGGCCGAGUACGAUAAGAUCCUCAGGGUGCCGCGCAACCUCUCCGACCUCCGCGUCCUCAAGUGAGGUCCUUUCUUUCUUUUGCUUUACUUCCAUGGUGGAUCUGCUUGAAAUUGGCUUUCUUCUUGCAGAAAAGCAUAAAUUGAUACCUUUUCUUUUGUGAAAUUCGCGUCCUGAGAUAUUAUUUAUCUUACGGUUGUGCUUCCCUAAUUCAGUACUUUUAGAUUUGUGUGAUCUUUUCGUCUAGUAGUUAGUCAGAUGCAUCCAGAUAGGUCACACACCGAUAUACAUUUGAACAUUUCGAUCAGCAUAAUGCCGAUUAACAAUCACUGCAAAAGUAUGAUAUAGGUUUUCAAAUGUAACGUUUAGAACCUUGGGGCUGUUUAGAUGUGCUGAUGCUACUAAAAUUUGAUUGUCAUCAAAUAAGAAAACCACAAAUGUAUAUAUAUGAUACUUCACAUCUAGAACACCUCCACUCCAGGUAGUGGAGAACACCCUAUUUAUAUUAUUUGCCUUUGGGCAUGUAUUGUAUUGAUUUUCCUUUUCUAAAAGGCAGCUUUUGAAAAGCUUCUUUUGGAAUUGAUUUGUGGAAGUACUAGCAUAAUAUGCUUUGUCAUAAACAGUUUGUUUCUAAAAUUGCUUUUUGGCCAAAUGUUUUUGUGAAGCAAAGUCUUGACAAGCAAUGGCAUCAUUGGAGGAGAUGGUGGUGGUGGCAACAAUAGCAAUCAUCGUAGUAAUGCUUUGUAAUGGUGCAAAUGUUGUUAAUAGUGUUGGUGGCCAAUGGAAGUGGUGACAAUGGUGGUGGGGGUAGGGCGGUGGUUGUAAUUGAUGGUGGUAGUGGUGGUGAUUACAAUAGCGAUGCAUGUUGAGGUCGAGAGUAAUUGUGUCAGAAUUCCUUUUAGAAGAAGUCAGAAACAGGUCAUGACCUUUUCUUAAACAAUUUUUUUAGUUUAUCUUUUUUUAAAAAAAAUCCUUUCAUAAAAUGUGAGCAAAUUCCCAAAUUUUACAAUAGCAACUUCUUAGUUUUAGAAAAUAAAUCUGCCAAAAUUUUAGAAAAGCAACUUCUUUGUAGGAAAAUGUGUAGGAAAAUAAAUCUGCCAAAAUGUGUUCAAUCGUUUGUAAUACAUGUUUGUAGGAAAAUUCUUUCGAUCUUUCUUGUGUGGUGAUUAUGUUUCUUGUAAAAGCAUGUGAAGCAGCCAUGAUUGAGUUAUGGAUGUGGUGUUGACAAUAAAAUAGUCAAUUGUCUUUCCAUUAGGAGGGACUUCUAACUCUGAAGGCUCAAACUAAAUUAAUAAUGAACGGUACCCUUACUUCACAAUAUGUAAUACUAUGUAGAUUGGGAUAUCAGAGCAUUGAGCUAGUAAUCAGUUUAGAGGAUUUUUUUUUUUUGAAUGAAUGAAUGGGGUUUGUAUUGAUAUGACACUAUAUAUUUUGCUCUCUCUUUUAAUAAGUGAUACAAUAUAUUUCAAUUUAAGAUUGGUAUUGUAGAGGUUUGGUUUAGAAGCACAUUUGGUCCAUUUAUCGUGGUAUAAAAGAUAUCUCUUAUAGAUUUCAUUGGAUGGUCAUAUUUUGGGGCUAGGGAAUGUUUUGGAGGAUGUUUAGCUGGUGACUUUGAAUUAUAAGUUGUUUAUUUGCCAGAGCCAUUGUAUGAUUUUUUUUUUUUUGAACUUUGAAGAUUCUCAUUUUUGUUCAGAAACAUAGUCCACUGAAGAAUUAGGAUGUUCUUUCGUAAGCUGAAGUUUUAUUUUGUUAGCUUCAUAUGAUUCAUGGUUUUUUUUUUUGCAUAUCUAUCACUGAUGGCUGGAGCCAGUUGAUUUGUUGUUAUGUUAUCGUGCUUGGUGGUUCAUUUUAAGAAGCAGCCAUGAACACCCCUCAAUAUCUGUACUCUGUACAACCUUUUUCAUUCUCUGUAGUCUGUACAACCUUUUUCAUUCUCCAACUGUAGUUCCAUUGUACUAUUCAUUCAGACUGAUGAACUUGUGGUACUAUUAUGUGAAUAACUGUGGGAAACCUUUUUUUAAAUGAACUCUUUGGAUUUUCUAUUCCAGAUUUACCAGUACGGGCAUCCUAUUCCAAGUUAAGCAGAAAUUCGUUUCGGAUUUACUUGAAAUCUUCUGUCGAUGUGGUUCUUUAUAUUCACUAAGAAAUAGUGGCCAUAUCUUUGUUGUAAUAAUAUAAUGCUGGAUCAUAUUUGCAUAGGAUUUAACUCAUAGUAGUAUUCAAGUAUAAGUAAAAUAAUUGGAAAGGGCAUGUUGAAGGGCAUUUUUGUCCGUGGCCAUAACUAUGUUAUAAUAACUUAAUGUUGCAUCAUAUUUGCAUAGGAAUUAGAUCAUAGUAGUUUUCAAGGAAUUAGAUCAUAGUCAUAUUCAAGUAUAAGCAAAUUGUGGCCAUAACUUUGUUGUAAUAACUUAGUGUUGCAUCGUAUUUUGCAUAGGAAUUAUAUAGUAGUAGUAUUCAAGUAUAAGCAAAAUAAUUGGAAAGGGCAUGUUGAAGGGCAUUUUUGUUCAUGGCUAGUCUAAGAUAAUUAUCUGGUGGUGUAUGAUAAACAAGGUAUCUUUGUGUUGAUUUUGUCAAAUGAUUUCCUGACUUCCUUCUAUCUUCUAUUGAAUGACAACCUAUCAAUUCACAACUUAUUCUGUUCUUAAUGUCAACUUUGGCUUAAUGCUUAAGUAGCAAACUUCCCAUUGUGAACUUUCUUUUCUUUUUCCGUACUAGUUGUAUCUCCUUACAAUUUGAUUUGGAAUAAUAUCCAAUACAACUGAUCUAUCUGUAUGUAAUAUAGAAAUUAUGCUUGCAGUAAAAAAAUGACAUAAUGCGCAGCUUCUUUACUUCUUGUACUUGGUUAGCAUAGUAUUAAGUUUUUCUUUUCCUGUUAUUAUCUUAUGCAGAGAUAAUUUGGCUGUUUAUGCCAGAGAUUACCAAGCCAAAUUUGUAUUAGGAUAUUGUUCAAUCUACAUCUUUAUGCAGACAUUCAUGAUACCUGGUACCAUAUUCUUGUCAUUACUGGCUGGAGCUCUUUUUGGGGUCAUAAAAGGUGUUAUUCUGGUUGUUUUCUCUGCAACUUCUGGUGCUUCAUCCUGCUAUUUCCUUUCCAAGUUAAUUGGCAGGCCUUUGGUCAGCUGGAUGUGGCCUGAAAAGUUGAGAUUUUUCCAAUCAGAGGUACUGACAGAGUUCCUUGUGUGAUAAUUUGCCUUUUAUUUUCUGGGCUGCCUCUGUUUAUAUUUGUUUUCUAGAGACCUUUUCAGGCUUAUGGCUUUCUUCUUUACAUACUCCAAUCAAUUGAUUAACAAUUUGCUCAUCUCAGAAUCUUUUCUUUUCUGGAUGCAGAUAGCAAAACGCAGAGAAAGGCUGCUAAAUUACAUGCUCUUUUUGAGGAUAACCCCAUCUUUACCUAACACAUUCAUAAAUCUGGCAUCUCCAAUUGUUGAUGUUCCUUUUUGCAUUUUCUUUCUUGCAACGUUGGUUGGUCUUGUUCCAGCAUCUUACAUAACUGUCAGAGUAAGUUUCUUUUUUAUCUGCUAGAAUCUACUUAUUUUGAACUGUCAUUUCGUUUUAUCCAUUUUCGAAUAUCCUCUUGAUAUCAUUCAUUUCCACUCUAGUUUGCUUGGCUGUGUAGCCAGCUAAGAUGUUUCUAUAUGUGGCACUAACUUGCUGUUGCAUUUUUGCCCUAUAAUUCACUGGUGAUGGAUGUGUAUUGAGAUUAAAAGUUUUAUUCAAACUUGCUAGUAUGUUACAUUUGAGCAACAAUAGUGAUCUUUUUCACCGUAUUUAAAAGGUUGACCUAUAUGGGGCUAGCUCGUAGGUUUGUUGAUCAUUUCACUCUUGCAAAUUGACAUUUAAGUUAAGCCUUUGCAGGCACUGGCUGAACAGGCUGACCCUGCAACAUGGCCCAGCUGUUCAGCCGGGGCCUAUGAGGCGCCUACCCCUCUAUUGCCUGCAUUAGGUUCAAUUCCAUUUAUAAAAUUUACAGAUUUUGAGGACCAUCAUUUUAGAAAAAGAUCAACCCAGUGCAUGAGGUUUUUGAGGGUCAUCAUUUCUAUGCUUUAUAAUUUGGUGCCAUCUGUUGCUGUGAUUUACCAACAUCUAAAGUGAUUUGGGUUUCUUUUUUUUUUUUUUUACUAUUGUAUCUAUCUCCUCUUUAUGAAUGCUGAGUUUCUUACUCUUGUUAUGAUGGCACUCAUGCCACAUCUGUGUUGUCAUCCAAAAUGCAUUAAGAUGAGAACUUGCAAGAUCCCUAGACCCGUAGAAUGUACAACUUGUGGAAGAUCUACCACCAUCCUUGGUAGUUCGUACUAUUGUUUAGAUUAGCUUCCCUUGAACUUGAACAUUCAGCAUAUAAUUCAUUGACUAGGCUCUGGUGAAUUAUCUGAAAACAUCUUGUUCUCUAUUGGCAUUUCUGGGUUGGUUGGUUGUUUGUUUGUUGAUCUCUUUUAAUCAACUCGCAUUGGCCUUUAGCCAACUUUUAUCAUCAUUGUUCGUAUGUUUUCCUAUAUAAUACUGGGACUAACCAGACUCUACUGCUUUGUACCUGAAGGCUGGUCUGGCUCUCGGGGACUUGAAGUCUGUUAGGGAUCUCUAUGACUUCAAGACAUUGGCGGUCCUGUUCCUUAUUGGAUUCGUCUUCAUAUUUCCAACAAUCCUAAAGAGAAAGAGAACAUAUGAAUGAGGCAGCUUGCUUGGCGUUGACUUUUUUGCUUUCUGUGACGAAUUAUUGUUCUCAGUCACCGGAACAUUAGAAAAAGUAAGGUAUAACCCUCAAUUUUUUUUUGAUGUUUUCUUUUGCCACGAACCAAAGUGUUAACUUUCUAUUGGUGAUACGAAGUUUCUGCUUUCGUUGUCGUAAGAGAUUUGACUUUUCUCUUCUCUUUGUUGCUAUUGGUGAUACAAUGUACGGUUCUCAUCUGUCUCGGUUCCCACAGGAAACAGGACUCCUCACUAGUCUGCUUCCCUAAGUUCCAUGACGUCAGCUUAAGGAUGCGAUCGUCACUUGAGUGCGAGUGGAUUGGAGACGGCGGGGCCAACGGAGUUGCUAGCGUUGUGAGUCCCAAUUGGAUUGGAGACGGUCCUCAAAUAAAAAAUGUAGGGAAAAAACAUGACGUAUAUAAUUGUUUUUUAUGUCAUUCUAUGUUUCGUUAGGUUUUGAUAUGCAAAACAUUAUUUUUGUUUUCAUAAAUAGUCAUGAAGCUUUAAAACAGGCAUUAUGACAAUAGGAAUGAAGCAUCACUGUAUCAUUAUUACUCUUUUAACCUCAUUAUAUCAUCAGGUCCAUAUGGCCGGCCCAUCACAACAAGCUCGGCGGCCCAUAUUCCUCCUCGUAACUCGCAUGUCCUCUCCUAACUCAACUGCGUAUAUUUCUUCUACAUUACAUAUAGAUAUAUAAAGGGGAGAAUAUAGAUAUAGUAUGUUAAUUCUUAGGAUACGAAGACAUGCAAUAAUUAAUUAGUACUGCAAAGCUUAAUUGACGUGCAAUGGCACCUCCAAUGGCAGGCAUAUAGAAAGAAAGGUCAUGGAGACGGACGAAAGAAGAAAAGAAAGCAGGUAGGAUCAGACGGCGGGUGCUGUGCGUCAUUGCCCGGUCGGUAUCAAUCCAUUUCGUAUGUCGUCGGCAAAUCAUUCAACGUACUGAUGGAAUUAUGACUGGGCCGUCUUACUUGACAGCCUAAUGGGCCUCCGUUUAGGCCCAAUAUUACCUUUUCACUAAGCGGCCGAGCCCAUCUCUCUCCUGUCGUCCAUUACAAGUAUUCCCCGUUCCUCUGACGCAACUAUUCGUUCGCUGCUUCUUCGACCCUGCUGCUCUUCACGCCCGUGGAAGAAAUGGCCGAUCCCGAUCCUUCCACCACUUGCCCUCCCCCCUCCUCCGCCUCCAUCUCGUCGCCGCCCACGUUCUGCUGCGCCUGCGGCGCCCCGACCGCCGCCCUGUCGUCCCCUCCGGCGUGGUCCGACUCCUCGCCCCCGCCGGUCUACCGCCCCAUCCGGGCCCCCGCAAUCAACGCCCCCUCCGCCACCGCCUCCAUCGUCCUCUCCCCCGUCCCCCAACCCCUCCCCGUACCCCCUGCCGAGCCCCCCUUCCGCUUCGAGGUCCCGUCCAAGCGCAUCUCCUCCCCCGACGACAUCCGCCGCUUCCACGCCUCCGCGGCUGGCCGCCACUUCCUUGGCUUCAUCGCCGCUCUCUCCCACUCCGUCCGCGGCCGCAAGCUCUCCGAUCCCGUUCCCUCGCCCCUCCCCGGUACCCUCUCAGGCCUCCUCUCCAUCCUCCAAACCCUCGCCCGCUGGAUCGACGAGAUCCCUCCUCUCCCCCACACCGCCCGCUACGGCAACCCCGCCUACCGAUCCUGGCACGCCCGCCUUUCCGACGAGGGCCGCGGCUUAGUCCUGUCCCUCCUCCCCUCCGACGAACUCCACCCCGCUGUCGACGAGCUCCUUCCCUACCUCCUCGACUCCUUCGGCAACGCCUACCGCAUCGACUACGGGACCGGCCACGAGACCAACUUCGCCGCCUUCCUCUACUGCCUCGCUCGCCUUGGGCUCAUCAAAGAAGAGGACUAUCCGGCCCUCGUCCUUCGGGCGUUCGCAGCCUACCUCGACCUUAUGCGGAGGCUGCAGACCGCCUACUGCCUCGAGCCAGCGGGGUCGCACGGGGUGUGGGGACUCGACGAUUACCACUUCCUUCCUUUCAUCUUUGGAUCCGCUCAGCUGAUUGAUCACAAGUACAUGAAGCCGAAGUCGAUCCACAACCAGGACAUCCUCGAUAACUUCUCCAAUGAGUAUAUGUACUUGGCAUGUGUUGCCUUCGUGAAGAAGGUGAAGAAGGGGGUGUUUGCGGAGCACUCGCCCAUGCUUGAUGAUAUCAGUGGUGUGCCGACGUGGAGCAAGGUGAACAGCGGCAUGCUGAAGAUGUACAAGGUUGAGGUGCUCGAGAAGGUGCCCAUCAUGCAGCAUUUCCUCUUCGGGUCGCUCAUCAAAUGGUAUGUUCAUAUAAAUCGCUCUCAUUCGGUUCAUGAACUUUGGUUUGGUUUACUUGGUGUCCGAUCUGCAUUUCUCUAUUAUCAUAUCAACAAUGUGUUGUUUCAUGUUCUACAUUCUGAUUAGUGGUUAGAGUUGCCUUCUCUAAGUAAUAUAACAGAAAAGAAAAUAAUAUGUUGAGUACAGAUGUUUUUAUGAAAGGAAAGGUUAAAAUGAGGAAAAUAUAUCGGAAAGACCGUAAGACAAAAAGCUAAAUGCUCCCUCAUUUGGAGAAAGAAUGGUCCAAAGUGACAUGCUGUGCAAUUAGUUCAGAAUUCCUGAGUAAGCUAUCAUGUAUUACAGAAACAAAAGCAUGAAGAAGGAAAUAUAAUAGAUGUUCAUGGUAAUUUCAUCAAAGAAAUUUAUCAAUAAACUGAUGUAUAACUUUGGUACUUCAUAAUUGGUUUUACAAUGUUUCAUGAUCAUUUUUCUAGCAUGGUUCGGCUGUCAGGAGUUCUAAAUGCAAUUUUUUUUUCAUCCUGAAAUUGUUGUUGCAACGUGCGAGAUAAACACAUGUGUCACCUGUUACAGUUUUCUCCUGCCUAGACUUGUCAAACUUGCAGUGGGGUUAACUGAUGUUUUGAAUAUAAAGUAGUUCUGCUAGAAUUCUGAUAACGAUUCUUUUACUAAUUUCUUCAACAAUAUACUAAAUCUUAACUCAAUUUGCGAUGGUACUUAGUUCUUGCUUCUGCUUCCCUCUAUGCUAUGUAUUGGGAAUCAACAUGGUGCAGCUAUUGCACGAUCGGUAGCCCUAACGUUGCUUUGACAUGCGUUUAAAUAUUAUUUGAAGAUUUCUUGCAGGUAUAUGAGUGUUAGUAAAAAUUUAUUGGAAACUUCACUAGAAAAAAAGGAAGCUGCACAAGAACUAAGAAUAAGAAAUGUUCACAUUCAUAGUUCUGAUUAAGAAAAAAAUACAAGAAAACCAUUAGACGAGCUGAAUCGAUUAUGAUUAUUGAUCAGUGGUGAGAUGAGAAUCAGAGGAAGUCCUGAAAGAACUUCAUUAGGAACCAUAAGAGGUGUUCUUACUGUUUUUAGUUUGAUUAAGUGGCAUUGCCCUAAACAUAGUUAAAUGGAAGGAAAAGAAAUUCCAUGUGAUAAUUGAUACACUAUUUCUCGUUAUUGAAGUAUUAGGUCAAUAAUUAGUAUGUGAACCUUAUUUUUGUACUUGUCCCUAUGUCGAUGUAUUAGCAGCAGUUGAUUACCAGAUCUGCAACUUUGUUGCAUAGGGUUAUGCCGCUGGCUUGUGCUAUCCGUUAUCAUUUACUUCCUAAAUGUAUAUCUGCUGAUAAUUAUUCUCUUAUUGGAAUAGCAUAGAUGGUUUUGUGAUUGGAACCAACAGAACAUCUUCUAGUACCCAAAAAAAAA
rnacentral:lncRNA from 1 species